UUUUCUUUUGUUUUUCUGAGGUUUUGCCUGAGUUUUCUUUUUCCGUGGCUUUGUGGUCUGGAAACUGAAGAAGAUGACCUCUUCUUUGCUUCCAGAGUGGCUUGUCAUUCCCAAAUUCUUCCCUAGACCAUGUCAUUUCCAUCCUAUACCAAAUCCCAAUAUUCUUUUUAUUGAGAAUAUUCCUUUUUCUAUUAAAGGAAUAACUCAAAUUUCCUUAGGUUGUGAAGCAACCUAUAUUUCCCUCACUCCAAAAAUUCCGAAAUAAUUCUCAUAAAUUAUUUGGAUCAUAUCUUGAGCAAAUAUGGCAAAACUUCUCAUUUGCCAUGUUUAUCAUCUUGCUCAAAUAAUCCUUUUCUAUUCUGUCCUGUGUGGCAGGUUGUGAAGGAAGUGUUAUUUUCCUUUGCCCAAUGGACCUCAACAUUUUUGGACGUCUUUUCAUGUUCAAAUAAUUGCCCUGUGCCAAAGCUCAACUUUAUUUACCUAGCCAAUCUUCCUCAGUGAUUUUUCAAAGUUCCUGUCUGAGGGAAUGCAUUGUGAAGGAAGUCCUAGCUAGGAGUAGCCAAAUGAGUUGAACUUUUACACACUCCUUUAUGUGCUCAUAUUAACCCCUUCCACCCAUUUGCAGCCCCAUCCAAUCAUCUAUGUGAGCACAGGAGCAAAUCUUUGAUUCUGGCAUUAUUUUCAGGUUGUGAAGCAAGUAUAUUUUAUAUUGCUUCAAAACUCAUGAUAAAUUAACAGAUCAUUCUUCUACCCUUAAAACUUCUCUCCACCCAAUUUGGCAUCAUUUCAUUAAGCCAUUACCUCUUUAGAAGUUUUCCAAGUUUCUUGUCAGCAGAAAUGUUUGUGAAGCAAGUAGCAUGUUGGCUUUGCCAAAUGGAAUGAUACUUGGGGUGCAUCAUCAUAUGACAAAAUGACUCAGCUUUGCCUAAUAUUAGCCCAAUUGAACACUCCAUGUCUCGCAUCUUGCUGAUCUUCAUUUCUGGACCAAAUAUGCAGUUGUGAAGCAGCUAUGAUUUAUCUUGGGCCAUUUCCCCUCAAAACCUCUAGGAUCAUAGUCCCUCCUUAGCUAAACACCCCAGACAUCUUAUUUGGCCCAUAGCAUAUCCCUGUUGACCACGUUGACCUGAUGAAGUUUACUGCAGUAAACUUCAGAGGGUGAUAACUAUUUAACCAGAGCAUGUUUAACCAAGUUACCACCACAGUUCAAACCUAUCUUGGACGAACUAUCAGCUAGACAAAGUUUUGGGUUCUGUAGAGCAUUGAAUGCCCAUGUUCACGUGGUCACCACACAGCUGGCAUGCCUGUUGGCGCGCUCUGUGCGAUGUGGCGUGUCCAGAGCACUGUUUGUGCUGGACCCCCUCCUCCUCUCGUCGUCUUAGAGCCCGUGAGAAUGUCCAUUGGCUUCCUCUCCUCGUCGUCAUUCCCCUGGACCCCUAUUACCCUCCGGAGGCUUCCUCACAGACGCAAACCGCCGAGUGCCCUCGUGCGUACAGUGAAGGUUUGGAUCCGUUCGUCGUCGUCGUCUUCCUCCCUGCGCCCCCUUGGCCUCCUCUGCCCCGUGAGAUCCCCCACUACCCCUCCUACGUCAUUUGCCCCCGAGAUCAUGCAUGCGAGCACGCGUCCGCGUUGCCGGACACGCAUCUGCGGCGGUGACAACACGACAGCUCCUCCCUGCGGCUAUAUAAGCCCUCCCCGCGCACCCCGAGCUCUCCUCUCGCCUCACCACUCUCCUAGGACCCCGCUCAUGCACUUCCCCGAGCACCAGAGCCCCUCUUCGCCUGUGUUGGCCGCCAUGGCCGCCGCCCCUGUCCACUCCGAUUCCGGUGAACUGAAGCCCCUCUCCUCUGUCUUCCACCUCUAGUAGGUCACCCAACCACCAUAGCCUCUCCCACAGCCCUCCGUUAGUCGCCGGAAUCGCCAUGGCCUCGUCCUCUAUCUUCGGCCGAAGCCCCAUCUACCGUGGCCACGGUCCCGCCCUGCCCGAGUCUCCCUGGCGUUCGUAUGGUGGUGGGACGGGUGCGCCUCGCCGUCCUGAGCACUCCGGCGGUCCAAGCUCCGUCGGGGGUGGCCCGAGUGGUCGGAGCAAGCGCCGGCGCCGGCGGCCUCUCCUCUGCUCUGCGUGCGGCGUCGGGAGAAGGAGAGAGGAAGAAGAGAAGGGAGGAGAGAGAGGGAGUGGAUAAGGUGGGGCCCACCUGUCGGCCCCUCAGCCGUUGACCAGCCCCGGCCCCGCCUUGCCACGCCACUUAAGUGGAAACGUAUUCACUCGAAUACGCUUUCAGUUUUCUGUCCAGGCCCCUGUUUAAAAAUCUUGUCAUUACAGAUGGGUCCCUAGCAGAAAACAUGCUAUAACUUUUUAUCCGUAACUCCAAAUGAGGUGAUUCCAAAGCCUACUUCUUCAUUUCGUAGAGCCUGUUCUAUUGGUUAAAUUCUCACUAUGGUUUAACUCUGUGAAAAUGACCUUUUUGCCUUUACACCUAAACAGCCCCCUCCAAGAGAGAACUAUUUCCGGCAAAUCUUUCUGCGGCUUCACCACACUUCUCCCCGGUGCCUUCUUCAUCCCCAAGCAAGCCACAGUGACAUUUUCAUAGUGCCACUUCAAUAUUUGUGAUUUUUUUACUUGAACUUAUGAAUUUUUAUGCAUUUAAAUUAGUUAUAUAAUGAUUAUAUCUGUUAAAUGCUUGUCAUGUUAAAAAUACUUGAACUAUAGAAUGUUUGAGGUAAAUAUUGUUGAUAAGCUAAAGAGAACUUAGUUGCAAGUGAUGAAUAAAUGAUAUAGUCAUAGAGUUGGAUAAUUAAUUAUAUUAUUAUUUUUGCAUGAUGAAAAGUAAUGAAAUUGCUAGAUAUGAUUCUGGUAUAAGUGAUGUGUGAUCUUAACUAGAGUAAGAACAUGAGUUGAUGAUGGAUCCAUAGGAGCGUGGUUAAUUCAGUUGUUUGCAUGGUUAUGUGGUGCACAUAUUAAGUGAUGCAUAGUAUGGCAUUAUGAGACCGGUUAUUUUCACAUUAAGUUGAACCUGAUUAAUAACUCAACUUGAAUAUGUUGUUGUCCGGGUCAUGGUGCUGCUGAAACGAGUUUUUCCCAGUGCAACCACAUUUGCCGGUAUGGGACGACUUUAAUGAAUUUCAUUGUCAUGCCUCUGGUCAGUGCCUUCAUUUAGGGAAGGUUAUGGGCGUGCUGUACCCUGGCCCGGUAGGCAAGCAUAACCUUGUGAGCCCGUUGUAAGUUAUUUUUUUGGUACCGGAUCCCAGAGUGGAUCGUGGCCACGACGGUGGUCGAGGUGUCUGGAGGUAGACACGGGGCCCCCCAGGACUAGCCCGAUGGGGUCUGAGUCGGAAUGGCUGAGAGAGUGUCAUGACAAUGAAAUGGUUUUGUCGGAACACUGAUGGUCCGCCCGACUGGGAGUGCGAGGCCAUGGGUUCCGUAGUGUGGGUACAGUGUACUAACCUCUGCAGAGUGUUUUUAAUCUAUCGAUAGCGAGUCCAUGGUUACGGACACGCUCGAAAGUAGGAUACACCAUGGGUCAACACUUAAUAAAAUAUGCACACUAAAUUUGUACUGAGGAUGGCAGUGAGGCCAUCGUGUUGAGUUUGGCCAUGAGUUGGUCGGGUUUGUGAUCGCCGUAAGGAUCACGGGCCAAGAGUUGGUCGGGUUCUAAUCGCCGUAAGGAUCAUUGGCCAUGAAUUGGUCGGGUGCUGAUCGCCGAAAGGAUCACACGUGUGUUUUCGAAGUUAUCAUGUUUGUGGUAUGGAAAUGAUCACGUUCGGUAAGAAGUACCAGUUGAGCAUAGUCACAACAUAUUAGACGUAUGGUUGCAUUGUUGCUUAAAUGGUUAAAUAUCCUGAUAUUGUUUGCCAUUAUGUUUAUGCUUAUUGUGAGCUUGCAAGUAUAUUCAAUGUACUGACCUGGCGUGUCAUGCCACUUUGCAGGUCAUGCCGGAUUUGAUUACUUGCUUGUCGUGGUUUCCGUUCGUGCGAGCUAGGAUAAGCGUUCCAGCCAGAGUCCCUGCGGAGUGGAGUUCACCACCGUCGCCGUUGUUCCGCUACUAGAGUUAUUCCGCUGCUUUGAGUUCUUCUGCUGCUUUCAUAGAUCAACUGAGGAUGGCGUAGUGCCGACGUACCGAUGUUAUUAAUUGUAAUAUCGGAGACCUUGUAUUCAUAUUCGUGUAAUAAUAAUAGAAAGCUGGUUUGUUCUAUGCUAAGCAGUGCUGUAUUCCAGAAGACUUCUCCUUGAUCAUUGGGCUGGAAUACGGGGCGUUCCGAUUUCCUCUGAGCAGGGGUGCUACAGGCUUGGUAUUAAAGCAGGUGUGGUUGUAGGACGCCCUAGACCGCGCAAACGUUAAAAAGCAUUACUAUAGACCCCAUUUGGUUUGUUGCACUUGAUUGCUGCAUUUGUUUGUUGCAUAGCAUGCAUUUAGGCUUAGUAUUUGUGAUAACGGUUUAUCUGGUGAGUGUAGCUAGCAUCGAUUCAGAUCCACUACAGCUGAAGCUUUGCAUUUCUCUAGUUCCUUUUUCUUUCGGUGUUUGGUGUCGUUUCUGUCCCAGCAGAGUGAUGCCAAGUGAUCCCGACACUGUUUGCAAAAAUGGUGCUCAGGUAUCGCAUCGAUGUCUUUCUUUUAGUCCUAUCUAUCGUUUCGGUGAUGGACAUGUUUCUAUCCCGGAUCGUUCUUUUUGUCGUGUUGGCAACCCUUAAUGAUCUUAGUUAUCAAGAAAGGGCAAUGUCAGCAGCCUCAGUUUUUCCCCGCUAUCCUAUUUCUUGGACGAGUACAGAUCUUUUUCUGUCCGCUUGAUAAUAAAGUAGUUGCGACCUUCGUGUCCAACUACAUGAUUACCGAGUACGUCCUCGCCUCUAAGCUAGUUCAAGUUGCUACCUGGCUAAGCUAGUACAUGGUGUAGCACUGUUUACACCAAUUCUUCCACACAUUUAUUCGUCCUCGUGCACAUCGCCACAGCAUAUUAGACAACAAUACCGGAGUUUCUGCGAAAUUUGUGUGCUUAGGUGUGCAUGCAUAUUAUUGUGUGAGUAGCAGUAAUAUGUGAUGCUUGCUUGAUUAAUUAUAUUAGUAGAAUGCUUGUGUGCUAUUGUUUUAGUCGUUUCUUUUGUUCCUUUCUUUGGGCCUUCAGUGUUACAAAAUUUUCCCCUAUUAAAGUUGCUCGUCAGCCGACAGUGGACCCGAAGAGUCAGCAAGAAAUGCAUAUAUUUGGAAACUCAGCUAAAUAGAAUGGAAUUAUCAGCUGACUGAAGUGAAAUUGAGAAUAUCUUGUCUGGAUGCAAAAGAAAUCCUGGAUGGACCUUGAGUAUCAAGUUUGCAUUAGCAUGCACUCAUCACAACAAAAUGAUUAAAUCAGCAAGAAGAUAAAUUGUGUGCAAGGUUGAAGAAUAUUAUCAAAGGUAUGGCUCAGAGACAAGUUUAAUUUUUAUUGAGGAUGAUUUUGGAACCCGAUGUACUUGGAAGCAAGCAAAAAUAUGGCAUAUACUCAGAAAGGAGGAUAGUCCAGUAAAACAAUGUUUCAUACAAGAAAUCAACAUCAGAAAUAUUGAGAUGGUAUGUAUAUGUGGAAAUCGGUCCGCAUAUCACAGUAAGAAGUUUAUGGUGUAAGCAACCCACUUUUCCCUCGCAAGAUACCCGAGAGGCUUCCAAGGCAAGAUUCAUCUAUCCUCCUCAGUACGAUACAUGCACGACAUCUCGCGCAAGGUACUCUGCCGUCUACAGUAAGCAACGGUGAAGACUUUUGGCAUAAGGUACCGAGUCUUUCCCCAGCAAUGUCUUUAAGGGGGUAAGCUUCUGAAGCACGAUAUCCAGUCUUCUUCAGCAAGCUGUCUGUUGAAAGUUUCGAGCACAAGCCAGCAAAUAUUCCUUAGUAAGACAUUGGUACAAGGUAGUACGCUGUGAAUUGACAACAUGUGGCAGUGAAUCCCAAGAAUCAGAUCCGCAACAUUUUGGUCAGACUCAAGAAUCAGUCAGAAUACAUGUCUGUCUCGGAAUCAGGUCCUCAUAUAUAUGCAAUAAGCAUAGCAUCAAGAUAUUACAAGUCACUUGGAUGAGGAUCUGAUAACCACGUGAGGAUGGUUACGAGAAUAAAGCCAGUAUACACCGCAGUGUGACAAAGAAUUAUGAGGAUUGACGACAUCAAGGAGCUCAAUACAAGUUGUGAUCGGCCGGCCUCCUCUAGCGGCGGCAUGGUGAACGGCGCUGCGCGGGAGGGCCUCCGAAGGUGGCCGUGGCGACGCGUUCGGAGUCGGCUCAAGCGACCCGAGAGGCGAGGGAGGGCCUCCGAAGGUGUUUUCUCGCUGUGUUCGAGUACGGGGAUAAAGAUGACCUGAUUAGAUUCUAAUCGGUUUAGAUUUUAGAGUUCUAUUCAUAUGUGUCAAGUACUUCCUUGUAUACGUCAAAGUCCAGCAUGCCUUAUAUAAAGCCAUGGCCGAUUGAAAAAAAAAUCAAUCUAUUCAAUAUAAACACAUUACUUUUUAUCAUUUGUUUUUUCUGUAGUUUCUUGCCCUAGCAGCCCAAGGGUUUGGUGAUCUUUCUCGUUUUGCACUGACAAACGGUCAGUUUCCGUCCACGAAAGCGAGGGAUUCUUUAUUGCUUUGCCCGACAAGCAAUUGUUCGUCGUCACGAAAGGAUGACAAAUAUCCUGGUGUUGUGCGGCGAUUUCACGUGCCAACACACUUGGCGACUCCACUGGGGACGAAGAAGAAAUACACACGAUGGACACCGAACCCAACAACGGAAGCGACUUCAACCAGGACAACAUCAUCUCCAUCACGCUCGACGAUCUGUCAGAGGAUGAUCGGCGUGAGCUUGAACAAGAGGUUGAGAAGGAGAUGGCUAAGCGGCUAGAAUUGAAGUUGACUAGAUACUACAAGACAAGGAUCGGCCUCGUCAAGAAGGUACAUGUCACUACUAGGAAAAAGGCUAUAGAUGAAAUGACCACUAAUGGCGCACCAGACAUGUGGUGCGCCACUACUAUAUAGCAGUGGUGCACAAUGUGCUGGUGCACCAUUAGUGUGAAAGACACUAAUGAUGCACCAGACACACGGUGCGCCACUAGUAACAAUUUUUUUUUCCAAACAUACUAAUGGCGCACCAGGGCACAGUGCGCCAUUACUACUUCUAACUAGUAAUGGCGCACCAGCCGCAUAGUGCGUCACUACUAUAUUUUUUUAUUCUUUUUUUGCAAAACUACAAAUGGCGCACCGGGGAAUAGUGCACCAUUACUAGUUUAAACUAGUAAUGGCGCACCGUGUCCCGGUGCACCAUUAGUGUGUAUAUAUAUAUAUAUAUAUAGGGAUUGACUAUUCGUCACCCUGGGUGAGGAAUAGUUAUUCUUCACCCCCUCUAUUUUACCAUCAAUACACCGUAAUUUUACGUUCCGUAAGUUUUGUCUUAUUUCUGAUGUAAAAAGAUACCGUAAAAAAAAUAUGAUCGUCGUAAAAAAUAUUUUAUGUUAUGUAAAAUUACAAAUGUAAAAACAUAGUACAAAAUACACAUAAACUACAUUUUUUCUUGUCUUAUGACCUAUUUUUUUAUUUUCUUAUGCCAAUUUUACGUAGUGGAUCAAUAAAAAUGUAACUAUUUGAAUUCCAAACGUAAUUUAAUUAUGAAAUGAUCAUAAAAUUACCUCGGGUGAAGAAUAACUUAUUCUGCACCCUGUACCAUCAUAGGCCUGACUCCUCGUUUGCCCGUACACAAAUCAAUUUUCACAUCGCGGCCGUCAAACCGCUCCCUCGUCACGAGGAGGAAAAGGCGCUCCCCGUCCUCGGGGGCCACCAGCAGGCGUUGCCGCUCCGUCUGAUGCAUCGUGACGAUGGGGGUCACGGGGCACUUGUGGUCCGCCUUGACGUGGCCGCAGAUCAUCGGUGGAUUGUGCAAUUCCCUUUGAACAAAACAGACAUCGAAGCGCAACUAUUUCACAAACUAAAUUGUUGGCGAAACAAAUUCACCCAACUAACCAUUUUGUGUAGCGUCCGACAGGUCAACGCUGCACUACACUGAGUUGCGCGCGAGCGUGGCGAAAUGAACAAAACAGACAUCGAGGCACAACUAUUUCACAAACUAAACUGUUGGCGAAACAAAUUCACCCAACUAACCCUUUUGUGUAGCGCCCGACAGGUCAACGCUGCACUACACUGAGUUGCGCGCGUGCAUGGCGAAAUGAACAAAACUGACCUUGAGGCGCAACUAUUUCAGAAACCAAGCCGUAGGCGAAAUAAAUCCACCCAACUAACCCUUUUGUGCAGCGCCCGAUAGGUCAGCGNNNNNNNNNNNNNNNNNNNNNNNNNNNNNNNNNNNNNNNNNNNNNNNNNNNNNNNNNNNNNNNNNNNNNNNNNNNNNNNNNNNNNNNNNNNNNNNNNNNNNNNNNNNNNNNNNNNNNNNNNNNNNNNNNNNNNNNNNNNNNNNNNNNNNNNNNNNNNNNNNNNNNNNNNNNNNNNNNNNNNNNNNNNNNNNNNNNNNNNNNNNNNNNNNNNNNNNNNNNNNNNNNNNNNNNNNNNNNNNNNNNNNNNNNNNNNNNNNNNNNNNNNNNNNNNNNNNNNNNNNNNNNNNNNNNNNNNNNNNNNNNNNNACACUGAGUUGCGUGCGAGCAUGGCGAAAUGAACAAAACUGACCUUGAGGCGCAACUAUUUCACAAACUAAACCGUAGGUGAAAUAAAUUCUCCCAACUAACCCUUUUGUGCAGCGCCCGACAUGUCAGUGCUGCACUACACUGAGUAGUGUGCGGGCGCGGCGAAAUGAACAAAACUAACCUCAAGGCGCAACUAUUUCACAAACUAAACCGUAGGCGAAACAAAUUCACCCAACUAACCGCUUUGUGCAGCGCCCGACAGUUUAGCGCUGCACUACACUGAGUAGCGUGCGGGCGCGGCGAAAUGAACAAAACUGACCUCAACGUGCAACUAUUUCACAAACUAAGCUGUAGAGGAAACAAAUUCACUCAGCCAACCCUUCUGUGUAGCGCCCAACAGGUCGGCACUGCACUACGCUGAGUGACGCGCGGGCCCUACACUCCUAGCCAGCGUGGCGGCCCCGGCCCUAUUCUUGGUUGUGCGGUGCCUAGGUGAAAGGAGCCACACUACAUUGUGCAGCGCCUAGCUGAAAGGAGCUGCACCACCUUAUAUUAAAAUCGUUGUAACUUUUAAUCCGUGCAUCCGAUGAAAACGUCCCUUAUAUGAAUGUUGUGCAUUUUUCUAUGUUCUACGCAAUGGGGUAUUUUCAUCUAUGUUGGGAUCAAUUUUCUUGAUGAAAACUCUGUCGCAAAAGUGCAUCAUAAUAUAACUAACAGAAGGUGAACUCGCUCCUCUCUAAACCACCAGAAGCAACUAAUGGCUAGUGUUUAGUUCAUCCGAUCUCGUGGAUGCUUCAUGAAAAACAAUAGUACCGUGCUUUCUAAUUGCUGAAAUAGUACUGUGCUUUCUGCAAGUAAAUUGGGACGGAGGGACUAUGAAACAAGGGUGUGUAGUACAUAUGAUCUCUGCUUUCUAAUUGUAUUUUGAGUACAUACAAAAUGUAUUUCCAAAAGCAAGGGUUUGUUCUCUGCUUUCUUCAGGUGGGAUACCUCUGUUGAAGACAUGACCAGAGUAGGUACGCGGAGCGGAACACAGAACACCCAAUCUUCAGUAUAGUAUACACCCUAAGUUUAAAGCCAAAACGCAAAGCGGUGGGAGGGCAAAGCUUGGCUUUAAAAAAAUCGGUGGGAAGGGGAAAGCUUUGGCUCUGAUAGGGAAGAUUGGUAUUGUUAUACUACUUCAAAUCGCCGUGUUCGACCCCCUGUUCAAGAAUUCAUCCGAUUAACCAGUUAAUUUGCCGAUUAAUCCCUACUCGUAGGGUCACCGAGUAGCCUAUAAACCGAUAAAUCGUCUGAUUAAUUGAUUAAAUGGCCAAUUAACUUGCCGAUUAGCCGAUUAAUCCCCUACUCACCAGCCAACCGAGCAGCUACCAGUUAACAAUUUCCUCAACAAUGGUUCGACUGAAUCGAAAGGAUUGAUUGUAUAAGUACUAACUCCAGUCAUGGUAAAUAAAUACCAUAAUUAUGCCUAGUGAGUUCAUAUAGAAUUCUUAAAAUACUAAAGGCGGAUUGUUGUACUUCAAAUUGUACUAUACUACUUUAAAACAAGGAUCUGGCUGAAGAUGAAUGUAAAACACUAUUGCGGAUCUGGCUGAAAGAUGAAUUAAAAACAUUGUUGCGGAUCUAGCUGAAGAUGAAUGAAAAAUCUAAAACACUUGUUGCUUAUCAUAAACACUUGUCUCGUCUCUCUCAAAUAUAUAAACACAGAAACAAAGUUAGGAAGGUUAUGAUUCUACCUCUUCAGAACCACAUCGAAAAGGCCAUGAAUCAAGAAACAGAAGCCAAAAAGGGGGACGAGAAUCAAAGAGUGGCACAGUCAUCACCUUCGGGGUCGCGCCUGCAGCCGGGGCAGACCAGGAGGGGCCGGUGAAGGGGACAAACCAGCCGGGGUGCUGGGGAGGGCCCGGUGGAUGGAGCAGCCGGGGUGCAGGGGAGGGGGCGGCGAAAGGAGAUGCGAAAAGACGAGCCGUGCCGCAGAGGAGUGGAGGAAGGCGAGGAGAAGGCUGACCAUCUGUGUUAUUAAUAUAUGGGCAGUACUUUGCGCCGGCGCGCCGGCCCAAAUUUGGGCCGGUCAGCCUGCAGCCGUCCGAUAUGUCUGCUAACAACUGUUUGAUUAGAGCCUAAUCUUCAUCCUCGUUCACCUCUCGCCCGCAGAGAAACAACAGAAAAAGUCGACCAACACCGCGAUCGCCCUGGCACAUCUCGCAUGAGGAAAAAAAGGUCCACCUUGCUCACCGCCGGCGACGUCCCCGUCGACGGCCCCAUGGGUUGUUGAGCUCCUACGAAGAUGUCACCCUGGGCCGCCGUGGCCGGUGGCAGCAAACAUUGUGCCCGGUUGUAGCAAAUGAGGAUGCCGGUUCCAGCAAAAAUCUCACCAAAAAGCCAGAAAAUCGUGGCUGCAGGAGAGAUGUCAUGGCUGUCAGUGAGAUGUCGUGGAUGGGUGCAGCAGAACGCCGUGCACGAAGUAGCACCGCUGAUUGUUGCUUCCAACAACCACCAGCUCCCCACCGUCGCCAUUGUAGCUUCUAUGGCACCCCCGCCAUCGCCAUUGUAGCUUCUAUGGCACCCCCGCCAUCGCCAUUGCAGCUCUUUAGUGUCGAUGCGUUGCCAUUGCUGCUCUCCAGCACAUCGUACUCGCCGUGGUCACCGUUGGCAACAUCCAGUGUGCAUGGUUCCAGCUAGCCGCGAUGGCCAUUGUAACAAAAAUCCAGCGAGCCGUGGUCACCAUGGUGGCCGUUGCAGCAUCCCGCAUGCACGGUUCUAGCUGGCUGUGGUGACUGUUGUAACAAAAUUCCAGCAAGCCGUGGUCACCGCGGUGACUGUUGCAUCAUCCCAUGUGCACGAUUCGAGCUAGCCGCGAUCAUCAUUGUAGUGCAAAAAUUGGCUGGUUCCAACACAACUCUCGCAGCGUCGUCGACCGUCGCGUGCAUGUCGCAUCUCUUGUUGACAUCGGUUGUAGCACCAUGGUUCGCUGGACUAGCAAAAAUGGUUGUUGGUUCCAGUAUUUUAGCUGCAUCGUCACACGUCGCCCCCUCCUUGUAGCUUUUUUGCCACUGGUUGCGGCAUGCUCGCCGCCAGUUCCAGCUCCUUAGUUGCCGGUUGCAGCACACCCCUGCUGCAGUCGCACCCCUCCUCCCAUAUACUGGUCGCCAUCUAGCACGGCCCCCGUCGGAGCACACAGCGACUGCGACAGAGGAAGACGACAUGCUACGUGGUGGCGCACGGCAGGCGGCAGGCCGUUCCCGUGUCCACUGUGUGCCAUUGACGUAACUCAUCGCCCCAAAGGCCAUCCUGCAGUCCAGGCGUCGAGGACCUUGCCUGCCAGCAACGGUGGCCUUUGUGGCACACAGGGAAACACGGGGGUGGUGCGGCGCCAUGGCCUGUGAGCUGCUGCGUGUUGGUGGAUUGAUGGCGGAGAGGGAGGGCUACUAGCGAGAGGAGGAAGGGAAAUGAGUGGACCAGGCAGUCGAGAGGGAGGAUAAGGCUGAAUAAAAGCGGUGUCGGGGGUGCGUGACAGCAGAUGGCAUGCGUCCUGCACUCCUCAAUCUCUGGCCCGCGUCCGACCGGCUGAGUUUUCAGCCGGUGCGCCGGCCACAAACGUUUUCCUUAAUAUAUGCUGCUGAGCCCAAGAUCCUCCCCAACGGAAGCUUAGUUUUGUUUUUCCUUUUUCCUUUUUCCUCCAAUAAAUAUAUAUCGCAACGGAUACAUUACCUUGGGGUGGUGGUGCGCAACCCGGAAAAAAAUCUGGACCCACUGGUCCAUCUCAAGCCCUCUCGUCAAUUUUUGAUUUACUUCACGAUUUUGACUGGGUCUCUGUUUUGAAGAAUGGUCAUCCUCUCAAUAAAUUCUAUGACAUAGACAUUACGAGCAUAGUUUUCAUAGCAAUAUUUAAGUAUGUCAAAAUUUUCAGAUUUGUAGAGAGUAAUAUUAUAUUUUUCAAUCAAAGAAGCAACUUCAUAAGCACCCUUAAAAGCAACAAAUGUUUCAAUUUGUUCGAUAUCAUAGUAACUAUAAACACCCUUUUCAUAAGAAGAUAAGAUUUCAUUAUCAUUAAACUCACAUAGGUAGGGAAGGUGUUUUCUAGGGUUCUUGGAGCAACAAGUAAAAUCACAAAUUUCACAAAGAUUCCAAGAAUAGCAUAGCAAACAAUUUAUUUGAUUCCAUAGGAGCUUCCCUUUUCAGACAAACGAUGACGCACAAAAUGAGCAUGCUGAUCUAAAGAUUUUCCCUCAACUAAACUAGUUGGCGUUUCAACACGAGCACAUAUGGAUCGAAGAUGAUCCAGGUAGAAAACUUUGAGUGGAUCCAUAUUAAUAGAUUUUUAGCAAGAAAAGAUGCAAUCAAAAUAGAAGGCAGAUGGAAACACAAGCAAACAUAAGAUUGAAUGAAAGAAGGGUGAAUAAAAAGGCAAAUCUUUUCGAAAAUCAUUUUAGAUGUGGGCGAGAGGAAAACGAGAGGCAAAUGGCGAAUAAUGUAAUGCAAGAGAUGAGAGUUUAUGAUGGGUACUUGGUAUGUCUUGACUUCCCCGGCAAUGACGCCAGAAAUUCUUCCUGCUACUUCUUGAGCUUGCGUUGGUUUUUCCCUUGAAGAGGAAAGGGUGAUGUAGCAAAGUAGAGAUAAGUAUUUCCCUCAGUUAAGAACCAAGGUAUCAAUCCAAUAGGAGAAGUACGCACAAAUCACCAAUACUUGCACAAACAAUCAAACACUUGCACCAACGUGAUAAAGGGGUUGUCAAUCCCUUCACGGUCACUUGCAAAGGUGAGAUCUGAAGCUAAAAUAUUUUUGGGUUUUUUAUUUAUGGAUCUGAAAGUAAAAGAUUGCAAAAUAGUAGAUCGGAAACUAAUAUGAUGGAAAAUAGACCCGGGUGCCAUAGGUUUCACUAGAGGAUUCUCUCUUGAAGGCAAAUAAUACGGUGGGUGAACAAAUUACUAUCGAGCAAUUGAUAGAAAAGUGCAAAGUUAUGACGAUAUCCAAGGUAAUGAUUAUGUAAUAUAGGCAUCACGUCUGUGUCUACUAGAGCGACUCCUGCCUGCAUCCACUACUAUUACUCCAUACAUAGACCAACUCAUGCCUGCAUCUAGAGUAUUAAGUUCAUGAAGAACAGAGUAACACUUUAAGUAAGAUGACAUGAUGUUGAGGAAUAAACUCAAGAAAUAUGAUGUAAAGCCCAUCUUUUUAUCCUCGAUGGCGACAAUACAAUACGUGCCUCACUACCCCUACUUUGUCACUGUGUCAGGACACAGCAAGAUUGAACCCAAAUCUAAGCACCUCUCCCAUUGCAAAAAAAUACCAAUCUAGUUGGCCAAACUAAAUCGAUAGUUAGAAAAGAAAUAAAAAGAUAUCAAAUCAUGCAUGUAAGAAUUCAGAGAAGAUUCAAAUAACAUUCAUAGAUAAGCCGAUCAUAAAUCCACAAUUCAUCGGAUCUCAACAAACACACCGCAAAAUAAGAUUACAUCGGAUAGAUCUCCAAGAACAUCGAAGAGAACAUGGUAUUGAGGCUCAAAGAGAAAGAAGAAGCCAUCUAACAACUAGCUAUGGACCCGUAGGUCUAAGGUAAACUACUCACACUUCACCGGAAGGGCAAUAGAGUUGAUGUAGAAGCCCUCCAUUGAAAAGUGUUUUCGUGGAUGCUUCUGGUGGUUUGGGAAGUUAUAUUAUGAUGCCACCAGCAGGUGCGCCAUUAGUAACCUGGGACCAGCUAGAUAUUUUGGACAGCCACACCUACCCACUCACUUUCCCCACUUCAUUCUCUCCACCUCCUCCUCCAAGCUUGUCUCGGCUACCUCCUCCUCCUCACCUCAUUUGCACCAUAGAUUCAUCCAAAUUAAGUGGUUAAAUUACCUUUUUUUGAUAGGUGAGGGGGAAGCUAUCUUUAUGUUGUUCUCCCUCCAACAAUGUGCACAUGCACUUUUUAUGGCCUAGCUAGAUCUAUGUAUGUUCGUGGUGUUGCAUAUGUUUGUGGUGUUGCAUAUAUGUUUGUGGUUGCAGGUACCGGUAUUUGAAAUGUGAUAGUUGCCAAUAUUUUGCCGGAAUGUUGAUUCAUUUCCGUUUCGGCGAGAAUUUUGGCACUAUGCAUUCUUUUUGUCCUAUUUUAGGGAAAGUCAUGCCAAAUUUUUUCUUGGUUCUAAAAUAUCGUUUUGCUCUACCCCGCAGGCGACCAUGGUCCGCACGAUGACCGAAGGCAUCGUGAAUAGGUUUUUGAGCUCCGCGAAGGCCGAGAUGCUUCAAAAGAAUGAGACAAAGAUAAGAUGUCCGUGUCGAAGAUGCAAGCUAAAGAGCCUUAUUGCGGACCCGGAUUCUGGGUAGGUGCGGGACCACCUGCUCUUGCAUGGUUUCAUGGAUGGCUAUUGGUGGCAAGGUGAUGAAGAUGACUAUGAAGUCGUCCAUGGGGGCCGGGCAAGAAAUGAGGAAGGGCAGCAAGACAACCACCGUGGCUCGGGCGGGCGAGAAGACAAAGAAUCUCCAGGACAUGAUCACGAUGGUGAUGCUGUACACAAUCAUCAUGUAGAAGAUGCAGGACAUGAUGAUGAGGAAGGUGCCGGAGUAGACGAAGGGCAUGAUCAUGAAGAUGAAGAUGCCGGCGGAGCAGACGACAAUGGACCAUCGAUGGGCUGGGUGCAGGACCCUCAUAUUCAAGAGCUGCUUCUCAAGCAGACGGAUAACACAAGAGCUGCCGCCCGAGAGAAAGCCAAGCUGGAUCAACUGGAGAUAGACGCGGUUACUCCAUUGUAUGAAGGAUGCAGGCCCGAGGAUACCCGCCUGAAAGUAACGCUCAUGGCUCUGGAGAUGAAGGUAAAACACAAAAUGACCGACGCAUGCUUCAACGAGAACAUGACAUUCUGGCGCGAACAUCUUCCCAAGGGGAACAAGUGCCCGACCAGUUUCGAGGAGGCGAUGAAAAUCGUGUGUCCUCUGGAUUUACCGCACGUGAAAUACCAUGUGAGCAUGAACAAUUGCAUCAUUUAUCGGGACGAGCACACGGAGUCUACCAUAUGUCUGGUGUGCAGCGUCACUCGAUACAAGAAGAGGAAGAAAGCUCCUCAAAAAGUGGUGUGGUACUUUCUGAUCACUCCUCGUCUGCAGCGGUAUUUCGCGGGCCCUAAGGUAGCAAAGCUCCUGCGUUGGCACGCGGAUAGGGAGGAGAAGAAGCCAGAAGAUGACGCAAAUGAUUCGGAGAUAAAUAAAAAAGACAAGAUGCUGAGUCACCCUAGGGAUGGGAGCCAGUGGCAAGCGUUGAACUUCGAACACCCAGAAUUUGGGAAUGAUCCAAGGAACAUCGUGUUGGGUGCGAGCCCCGAUGGAGUCAAUCUGUUUGGCAGCCAGAGAAGCACACAUAGCACCUGACAUGUGUUUGUGUGGAUGUACAACCUUCCCCCUGGUUGUGCAUGAAGAGGAAGUACAUUCGCAUGAGUAUGCUAAUUGAAGGGCCGAAACAACCAGGGAACGACAUCAAUCUGUAUCUGGGGCUGCUGAAAGAGGAGCUAGACACGCUGUGGAAAAUGCCAGCCAAUACGUGGGACGCCGCACAAAAAGAAUAUUUCCCUAUGAGAGCCGCACUGCUCACGAUGGUGCAUGACUAUCUCGGUUACGGAUAUGUCGCGGGGCAGGUGGUCCACGAAUUUUCUGGAUGUGUUAGGCGCAUGGAUUACACAACGUAUCGCCAGCUAGAUAGAUCGGGUCUUUGAAAACCGUGUUCAUGGGACAUCGAAGGUGGCUUCGCGACGAUGACCCGUGGAGGAAACGCAAGGAUCUGUUCGAUGGUGAAACCAAACCCCGAAGACGCCCGCAUACGAGGCGCAGCGAGGAAAUAGAUGAGCUGUUGAAAAAUUGGAAAGAUUGCCCACUACCGGGAAAGAAGCAAAAGGCGCCAGAGCCGGGAAAGAAGCAAAAGGUGCCAGAGCCGCUGCUGAAGGUAUGGAAAACGAGGUCUAUUUUCUGGGACUUGUCGUACUGGAAGAUCCACCGUGUGCCUCAUAGCCUUGAUGUCAUGCAUAUCACGAAGAAUGUGUGCGAGAGUCUGCUUGGUACCCUGCUCAACAUGCCAGAGAGGACCAAAGAUGGGCCGAAAGCAAGGGCAGACUUGAAAUCAAUGGGCAUCAGGGAGGAGCUUCACGCUAAUGAUGAUGAUGAUGAGCCGAAGCAGGACACGGAAAGUCGUCGCAAAGGCAAAAAGGCCAAGAAGACCGGAAAUGACUACCCUCCCGCGUGCUUCACUCUAAGUCAGGAGGAGAUCGAUCAGUUUUUCAGCUGCCUCGUAGGAGUAAAACUUCCUUACGGUUACGCGGGGAAGAUAAGCAGAUACCUAGACCCAGCGAAGCAGAAGUUCAGCGGGAUGAAGUCUCACGACUGUCACGUGCUGAUGACGCAGAUACUUCCAGUUGCAAUCCGUUGGAUCAUGGACGCGCACGUCUGUGAAACGCUAUUUGGCUUAUGCAACUUUUUCGACGUCAUCUCUCGAAAGUCGGUUGGCGUGAGGCAACUUAGAAGGCUACAGGAAGAGAUCGUGGUGAUACUAUGCGAGCUUGAGAUGUACUUCCCGCCCGCAUUCUUCGACGUUAUGGUGCAUCUGCUGGUCCAUAUCGUGGAGGAUAUCAUCCAACUCGGGCCGACGUUCCUGCACAGCAUGAUGCCGUUCCAAAGGAUGAAUGGUGUCAUCAAAGGAUACGUUUGCAACAUGUCACGUCCAGAGGGAAGCAUAGCCAGGGGCUUUCUGACCGAAGAGUGUAUCUACUACUGCACGAAUUAUCUAGGCAUCGAGAACCCCGUUGGUCUGCCCGUCAACAGGCACCUCAGUAGGCUCGCUGUAUGGGGUCACCGUGAGGGUCGCCGCGAAAUGCAUGUCGACUUCAAGGGUCGACUCGCUGACUUUGAAAGAGCAAACCUAGUCGCGCUACAACACAUAGACGUGGUCGAUCCUUGGGUGGUAGAGCACAAAACCUUUAUUGAGAAGACAUACAAUGACCGAGGCCAAUAGAGGACGGACGAAGAUAUAAUCAAAGAGCACAACUCAUGUUUCACGCAUUGGUUCAAGCAAAAGCUUCUGUCAUACCCUUUACAUGAGGAUUCUUCCGCGGAAGAACAACUCAUAUUCGCCUUGUCACAGGGCGCCGAGCACAACCUGAUGACGUAUGAGGUGUACGAUAUCAACGGCUACACAUUCUACACCGAGGGAAAGGACAUGAAAAGCGAUGGUUAUCAGAAUUCCGGGGUAACGAUGGAAUCCUACACCGGUAAUGACAAGGACAGAUACUACGGAAGGAUCGAGGAGAUCUGGGAGCUGAGCUACGCUUGAGAGAAGGUCCCGAUGUUCCGUGUCAGAUGGGCCAAGAGCGUCAUAAAAGAAGACCGGUAUUUCACCAUCAUGGUUAUACCCGAAGCCAAAUCCAAGACUGCGGGCGCAAACGUCACCGCGGAAAAUGAGCCAUGGGUACUGGCUUCCCAAGUGGACCAAUGCUUCUUCAUUACCGACCCGCCAAAGCCCAGUCGUGUUGUCGUGAGGAGAGGCAAAAUGAAGAUCAUCGGAAUGGAUGGAGUCGCCAAUGAGCAAGACUUCGACAAGUACGACGACCCGAAGAUGGAACAUGACGACGACGAUGAAGUAUCAGCAUACACCACAAGAAGAAGCAGGACCACCCUACCUAAAGGACGUCCUUUCAAGAGAAGAACUCCAUUUACAAAAAAUAAGGGCAAGAAGAUUGUGAACAGAUAACUAGCUAAGAUCGAUUGUAUUUAAAUUGUAGCCUUCAUUUCUCGAUUAUUGUAUUUCAUGGGCACUUUUUGAACUCAUGAAUAUUUUUAAAUUUCAUGGGCACUUUUUGAAUUCAUGAAUAUUUUUCAAAUUUGAUGAUAUUUUUUCAUAUUCAAUAUGAAAAAAUAUUGAAUAUUCAUGAGGACACUCGAUCUCGAUCCCCCUCCAUCUUGAUCUAUAUCCCCCUCCAUCUCGAUCGCUAUCCCCCUCCAUCUCGAUCUCGAUGCCCCCCGCACCCUCCCCCGCUCCACCGCCGCCGCCGACCCCCCGCACCCUCCCCGGCCCGCUCCACCGUCGCCGAGCACCGGCCGCACCCUCCCCUGCUCNNNNNNNNNNNNNNNNNNNNNNNNNNNNNNNNNNNNNNNNNNNNNNNNNNNNNNNNNNNNNNNNNNNNNNNNNNNNNNNNNNNNNNNNNNNNNNNNNNNNNNNNNNNNNNNNNNNNNNNNNNNNNNNNNNNNNNNNNNNNNNNNNNNNNNNNNNNNNNNNNNNNNNNNNNNNNNNNNNNNNNNNNNNNNNNNNNNNNNNNNNNNNNNNNNNNNNNNNNNNNNNNNNNNNNNNNNNNNNNNNNNNNNNNNNNNNNNNNNNNNNNNNNNNNNNNNNNNNNNNNNNNNNNNNNNNNNNNNNNNNNNNNNNNNNNNNNNNNNNNNNNNNNNNNNNNNNNNNNNNNNNNNNNNNNNNNNNNNNNNNNNNNNNNNNNNNNNNNNNNNNNNNNNNNNNNNNNNNNNNNNNNNNNNNNNNNNNNNNNNNNNNNNNNNNNNNNNNNNNNNNNNNNNNNNNNCUGCCUUGCGCCGCCUCCCCGCAUCGGCCCCUGCCCUACGCCGCCGCCGACCCCGUCCCCAACCCCGACCCCGACGGCGACCGGCCGCGCCUGCCCAGGUACCUCUCCUCCUUCCUCCUUCCUCCCUCUCCACCCUUCCUCCCCAUUCCCUCCCUCCCUCCCCUUCCGCCGCGCCCUCCACCUCCCCUCCGCCCUCCUCCCCGCCGUCAGCCCCGCCCCGCCCUCGAUUCUAGUAGGCUUGCUCGGGUGCUGGUGUUCUUGCCAGGAUUAGUAAAUGGGACCUUGUAGGAUGUUAACCGUCGGUGUGUCUGUCAAAACUAAAAACCCAACGGUUAUGACUGAAUUUCCAAACUAGCUUGUAGUAGUAGAAUGCUAGUGGAGUCGCUCUUACUAUGCGUCUCAAAACUGAAUAUGGUUUUCCAUGAGGUUAUCGAGGAGCUGCCGGCCUGUUUUCAUUCUGGUGGGGAGAACCGGGGAACUGGAAUGCUUGUUUGGCUGACCUCUUACAAUGCAGUAGAUGAUCUUUUUUUCGGCCUGCAUUGCGCUCCGCUGCUAUGAACUUUUGAUAGGCCGCGCGACGGAAGCCACUUCAAGCUAUUGUGUGUUUCUCUGAAUGUUGUGUUUCUUCAGUUCUUUAUCCAUUCUUUGUUCCUGCUGAAUGUCAUGCUAAUUUAGUUUGUUUUGUUUUGCACAUCGGUAGGCAAAGCCUAGUGUUUGUUUCAGACAUUUACUGAAACUGAACCAAGGAAAUUUGGAUUUCAUUGUUACAGUUGCAGGAAAAGGUCAUAUUAUGAGUGAAAUAUAUUUAAAAUGUCUAUUUAGUUCUGUUUUCAGAUAUAACCUUGUAAGUAGAAACAUGUAUAACUCAAGUAAACCAUACAUCUAGUUAAUAUUGCACAGGCAGCAAUGUUAAGUCUUACUAUGAACCUAGCAAUAAAAAUGAUGAAGCUCCUGUCAAUUUUUGACAUAUCUUAAGUUCUUAACAAGACAUGUUUGUCGUCUUUUAGCUAGUGUGAUGAGAUUUUGGUACCUGUACAUUCCUUGUACCAACUUAGGCAAAUAAUAAUUUAUUUGUUUUUGUGACAAUUGGUUGAGCACAUCUUCUAGCCUCUUGUGAAUACAUCUGGGACAACGCUUCACACCAGUCAGGUAUAUACUGCUUCAGUUUCGAGUGAAAUCCUCUACCAUAGCCCCUGCCCCAGAUGAAGUGAGCUAUAUAUCUGUAUGAUGAUCCUCCUUUCCUAAAAGUGAGAUUGCCAUAUGUAGUUCAGAACUGACCUAGCUAAGGUUGUUUUCCUACUGAACAAUGAUAUUCCAGUUUGUUCCUCACCCACAUGCUCCCAUGUUAUUGUUAUCGAAAAUAAAAUUGCUCCAUGAAAAUGUGUAAGCUUUAUAUGGCAGAAGGUUGUGCAUUUACUGAAUCAUCAUUUCUUGCACAUGGACGAUUUGGUUGUCCAUGAUUAGGGAUGGACCUCAUAUGUCCUCUGCUAUUGUUGAACAUGUUGUAAUCAAUUACAACUCCUACAGAAGAAUCUGUAAUUUUGACAGGUAUGAGAUAUAUUUUGGUCAAUGCUGCAUGAUGCGUGUGUGGUUGAUGGUCACAUGCUAGCUUAGGUUGUUUUGCUAUAGAAUGGCAUUUAUUUCAGUUUGUACCUCAUCAUGCCCCUUCCCAAUGUCCAUCGUCGAGUAGUUUGCUGGUUUUGUUGAAAAAGAAAAGAAAAGCAAACUGGUUGUGUCCUUCUCACAGGCCCAUAUAGAGAAUUGUGAUUAUCAAUUUACUGAUUUUUGUUCAAAUUUUAUCAUGCCUCUUUUGAGAAGUAUGUCUAUUGAUUCAAAAUUGCCAUGGCAAAAAUAUGUUUCAGAAAAUGACAUGGACUAAAAUGUUCUAUAGAUCAUGAUCCAUAGACAAAAAAAAUGCCAAGAUCCAUACAGUAUAAAUUCCAUGAUGCAUAGGCUAUAUUUGCCAUGGAAGAUGGCAAUUUUGUUGGAUCAUGAUCCAGAUAUUAAAAAAAUGCAUAGACUAUAAUUUCCUGGCAUGAUCCAUAGGAUAAAAAUGUAGAAUAAAAAAUGCCAUGAUCCAUACACUAUAAUUUCCAUGAUGCAUAGACUAUAUUUGCCAUGGCCCGGUGCAAAAGAAAUUUGCCAUGUUGCAAAAAGAAAAGAAAUUUGCCAUGGUGCAUAUAGUGAAAACAAUGCCACGAUCUGUAAAAUACAUUUGUCAUGCUCCAUGAAAGUAAAUUUCCAUGGUCCAAAUGUACCAGAAGUUUCAAGUAGUGUUUUGUUUCUGUGUUUGAAUAGGCAGCAAACUUUCUAUUCUUUCUGUGUUUGUACAGACUUGCUAAACUAUUGAUGAUUUUUUGUUGGGUGUCCUAUUAGAUCUGGAAUGGAAGCUCACAUAAGUUGAGCUGAUUUUUGUCCAUAUGAAAGCAGAGGACCAUAUGGUCUGUGGCCUUUUCAUCCAUAUGAAAGUAGAGGCACAUUGUGGUGCUACUUUGCUGGGUUUUGUCUCCGACCUUCGUGUCAUGAUGAUUUUGUAGGUACCCCGAGAGGCCCUUGAGUUUGCCGGAAUGUCGAUUAACUUACGUUCUGGUAAAUUCGGGUACUCCACAUGUCCUAUUUUCAGCAAAGGUCAUGCUGCAAUUUUCCGUGAAUUUUAGCAUGACUUUGCUAAAAAUAGCACAUAUGGGGUACUUGCGACUAAUGCAUGGGUCGGGGUAUCUUAGUACUUAAUUAAGUAGGAUCAACUGCCCCGCCAUUCUUGCUGCAUUAAACCAUAUAUGGCAAUAGAGCCAAGUGAUUAGGCCCAACCUAAAUGAUGAAACCUUGGCUUUUAUAGGGUGCCUCGGUGUCGAUGAGAACCUAAAUGAUGUACGCUUAGGCUUUUAGGGUGCCUCGGCGUCGACAAACCCUAAAUGAUAAAAGCUUAGCUUUUAGGAUGCCUCGGUGUCGACAAACCCUAAAUGAUGAGACCAUGAUCUUGUUCCUUGACAAUAACCAACUUUUUGACCAAACUUUUUUCCUAUUUAGAGCGACACAUGGCCCACAAUGAUGAGGCCGGCGGUUCGGGCGGCAAGCAAUUCUGGGAGCUGUCCCAGGAGAUGGAGGAAGAACCUCACCGCUACGAGGAUGCCGCGGACGACACCGAUCCUGACUACACAACCCCUAGUGGCGUCGGGGAUGACAUCACUGAUGGUGCCGCCGAGGAUGCCACCACUGAUGAUGGCGGCGCACACACAGAUGGCAGCCAACCGAAGAGGCAAUGGAAGGACCGACGCCCGAGCGUGCUCGGCACCAUCAAGGAGGAAUUUACUGAAGUGAACUCCGCCGGGCAUGCAACGGCGCCCAAAUAAUUAGUCAAGGGGUAAUCGGUUCAGCUCGGGUGCAUUCUCCGGAGCACCGUCUCGAUCAACACCGAGAACCUAAGGCAUAAGGACCAAGGGAAUUUGCGCAGCCUCCUCUUCACGAAGCUGCACGAACGAUACAAGUUCCCCGCUGACUUUGCAAACACACGCCUCUCAGCGAAUAAAGUGAACAAUGCCGCCCUCACAAGGAUGAGCACGGACCUGUCUACUUGGAGAAGCACGGUGAAGGCAAUGAUUGAAAAAGGUGAUAGUUAUGAGAAGAUCAAGGCAAAAUAUCCUUUGAUCAGCGAAGAUGACUACAAGGAGUUCAAGAUCAAGUGCGAGAGCAGCGCAACCUCCGAAUCAAGUCAGUGGGGGAAAGAAAUGCGGCAGUUGAACUUAGGGGUCCACCAACUCGGUCCCGGCGGUUACAGAGUGGCGGAGCCUAUAUGGGACAAGGAGGACGUAGAGCGUGCCGUGCAAGGCCUAUCGCCCCGCUUCGAGAAAUACCGUGACAAGCAGACUAGGAACUUUGUCAGGGCCCGGUACAAGGAGGACCCGGUAACAAAGGAGCUUACCACGGAUCUGAAGACCAGGGCGCUUGAGCUUGUUCUGGUAAGGAAUACACCCUCGCGUAAUUAGCUCCAUAUGGUUGCAUUCUAAUUAAUCCCCAAUAUUUCUAAAUGGUUCAUGUUCCUUCCGCAGGACACUGAAAGCAGUAGCGCGGGGUCGUCUCAGAGCUCCCCUUUCGACACCCCUUUAAAUAGGGCGUUGAACGUAAUGAAAAACAAGGAUAAGCUCAGUAAGCCGUCGUUAGCUGGUCGUGUGGCCGGCAAAGGCUUGUGCACAAAAUGGUCAUCAUACUAUACCGCUGGUGGGCAAAAGGAGAAAAAGACCAGCUCGGAAAGCCAGUCGCGCGAGGUUGAAGCACUCAAGGCACAAGUGGCGCGGAUUCCGGAGAUUAUCCAAGAGCAAGUGCAACAAUAACUGGGAACGACGCUCACCGCCAUGGUGCCUACGUUGAUUUAGGGGCUGACGACAUGGAUUGCGGGCAGCCAAUAGGGGCCUCCCCCGGUUCCCAGCUUCAUGGCCAGCAACUCGCACAACUCGCAGGAGGCGCCAUUGGUGUCUCAGGCGGCACCAUUGGUGUCUCCGGUGAAGGCGGUAUUCAUGUCUCCAGCGCCGGCACGGGCAUUGGAGCUUAAUGCACCCGGGUGUACGCCAGCCGACACCUCGCCAGCAAGCGGCCCCUCCGUCAGUUGCACGCCCGCCGUUGGCGGUGCCUCGACAUUAGCCGAGCUCGACGGCAUCACGGUAACUAAGCCUCUCGGCCGAUGACUUCAUCUCCUUGCCUUUGACUGGGCAUCCCUGACGCCCUACAUGUUUUCGCAGGGCGCCACCGACGUUCCUUGCACUCUCCUGCACUUCGUGGGCGGCGAGUUGGUUGAUGUCGCGAAGGGAAGAAUGGUUCAACCAGGCAACCCCGUGUUCCACGGUAGUCCGAUGCCACCCACAGUGUAUAGGGUUGAACUGGUUCAGGUGCUGCCAGGCUGCGACGAGUUGUUACCUCCGAUUCGACCCGCUGGGGCCGAGGAAGAAGAUAAGAUGACCCUCAGCGCCUGCGUAAACUGGCCCCUGCUUUGGCCGAAGAGCCAGAUUCGUUUGGGGGCGGGGGACACCACCCCACAGACAAGACCACCAGUCGUGCCGGUGCCAAGCCAUGGCAAGAAAGCCACAACGCUACCGGACAUGCCGAACAUCCCUAUGGCACAGGAUCCAGACAUGCAUAUGGCACAGGUUCCGGACGACGAUGACAACGACGAUGGUACAUUUACCAACGUCGAUAAGUACUUUGCCGAACAUGGGUACUGUGAUGAGUUCUGCGGGCCUCCUUCUCAAGAACCCAACCAAGACGACCGCGAUCUAGCUGGUACCACGGGGAAACCUAAUUGCAAUAGGCGUCGUCUGGCAUUUAGUUCUCAGGAGACGCCUCCAGCUGCCGCCUUCACCGAGCCUCAGAUAGCCGAGGUGCGAAAUAUUAUCAGCCCCAACACGCUCAAGAAGGUGGUCUGUGAGAAGAACUCGAUCCCAUUACAACAGAUCAAGAAGAAGGGACGAAAACGAAAGACUAACAAGGGCGCCGGUGCGAGCCAGCCGGCACCGAGUACGAUCCGUGCUCAGGACGGGCCACCUUCACCUAAGGAUAUCUCGAAGAGGGUGCAUGUGGCGGGUAGGUCGAUGCUACCGACAAAUAUGCUCAAUGUUGCAACCGGUGCUAUGCGGAGUCUGCAUGAUAGUGUUCUUUCUUUGGAGAAGAGGCAUCUCUCCCAGAAUGAUGUGGCAUACCCGGUUUUUGUGUCCAAGGUGCCAGAGGGCAAGGGCUUUGUGGAUGGCGCCAUCGGGGGUACGACCGUCCUGCGGUUUGAUGACAUCUUUGCUAUGUUUAACCUUCAUCCGCUGCACUACACCUUCGUUCGGCUGUUUUCGCUGAGUAUGGAGAUGCGGAUCAUUCAAGACAAGACCCCGUACAUCAUGAUAGUCGAACCCUUCUACAUGCGUGCCAAUAUCUUGGGCAGCGCUAGGGACCGGCAAGUCACGAGUUCACAGCUCGAAGGCGUCAUUCUAGCAAACCCAGAUAAGGAUAACUUCCUCGUGCCUUACUUUCCCGAGUAAUUCAUCCCCUCACCGCCCCGUAACAUAUUAUUUCUUAGAUUUCGAUCGUUCUUUUUUUUUUCUAACAUUCCGUGUUCUGUGCAGUGACACACAUUGCACACUCAUCCUCUUAAGCCCGAAAUAUUCCAUGGCCAUGUAUUUUGACCCGGACCGUGACUCCAAGAUAGACUACACAAAUAUCAAGAAAGUUUUUGAUGAUGCUCUCCCCGGCUACGCCACAUCUGGAGGCACCUUUAAGAGGCCAGUUCAUAGGUACGGCAGGCACGUGUUCACCCACAAUACGACGUUCCCCUGCGUUAAGCAGCCGCCUAGCAGUCAGAAGGAUGCCUACUACGCCCUCCAUCACAUGUGGGCGAUCGUACGGGACCAUAAUCACCUUCUGCUACCAAAUAAUCUCAAAGAUUGGGCCGCAAGCUUGGCGGCAAUCCAGGACGCGGACCUCCGACAAGAAUUCUUUCGCAUCCAGACGGAGUUUGCAGAAAUCAUCCAUCAAGAUGUCCUUCGUGCCUCGGGGCAGUUCUACCUUAGAGAUCAACCGUCCAAUAGUGAGAUAGACACAAUGCUACAAAUGCAGGCUGACAACGCCCACGACUUCAUGACCAUCACGAAAGAUGGCGGCUUCGUCCAUGCUCCGGUCCCAUGAGUCGAGUCGAAAGUAGUGAUGCUAUUUGUAGUUCUGAAACAUCGAUUAGCUCAUGUUGUAAUUAAACUUUAAUGAACUUGUAUGUCUCUUUGGUUUGGACAGUCGUUCAACUUAGAUGUAAUCGAUGCUAUUUAUUAGUAGGACCAUGAAUCGUGCUAUUAAUGUCUUGCUUUUCUCUUCCGAUCCUUUUGUUGCAUGCUUAUAUAUUGCUUAUGUAUUGUCUGUUGUUUGGCUUGUGCAUAGAGAUGUCGUCGUAUGUCGUGUACAAGGGUAAGGUUCCCGGAGUCUACGGCGACUGGGAGGAGUGUCGGAGACAGGUUCACCGUUUCAGCGGUAACAAUUACAAAGGGUACACCACUAGGGCGGAGGCGGAAUCUAGAUACACGCGCUAUCUAGCGAGAGAGAGGAGGGAGCGUUGGAGGAACCGGAUGAAGACUAGUUUCAUCGCGAUGAUGCUCAUCGUGAUGACCGCGGCUCUCUUCUAUGUGAUGGUAGUUUAGAUGAUCGAUCUCGACUUGUAAUGUGAAGACAAACUCGCUACUCGCGGUCUCGAGACUUGUAAUGUUCUAUCUUUGUUCGGUCUUUUGAAUUCGGAGACUAAUAUGAUGAAUUGUAUUCGGAGACUAAUCUUCUAUUGUAUUCGAUGAAUCUGUUGUUGCUGUGUGGUGCUGUCUAUAUUCUGUCCAAUAAUAUAUUUUGUAACCUGUGCAAAAAUCAGAAAAGUAAAAAAAAAUCCUAAUAUUCAUAAUAAUGGCACAUCACCCCAAAGUGCGCCAUUAGUAUGCCAAAGGAUACUAAUGGUGCAUCACUCCACAGUGCGUCAUUAGUAUGCCAAAGCACAUGGGUAAAUAUGGCCCCCUGGUAGGCAUACUAAUGGCGCAUGUUGGUCUAUACUAAUGGCGCACGAUGUGGUGCGUCAUUAGUAUACCAGAUACUAAUGGCGCACCAGUGGUGCGCCAUUACUAUUUAAUACUAGUGGCGUGGUACUAGUGGCGCACCGGUAGUGCGCCAUUAGUAGGCAAAACUGGUGCGUCACUAGUAGGCCUUUUCCUAGUAGUGUGUGCGAACCCUUCCGAUUCGAUCAACACCGAAGUAAAAUAAUCAACUUAAAAAAUUUCUCAUCUAAUUGAUGUGUGUGUAACUAAUAAGUACGAUUAUGAUGUGAAAGCUAUGACACACACAAGUACUCAAUUGUAGCUAAUAGAAUUGAAGAAUUUAAGGAGCGGCUUCUUAAAGAUCUUGAAAGUAAUUUACCUAGUCAUGUUUGUUCAUUAGUGCUGCAAAACGUUGAGUAUCCUGAGUAAAGGCCGAUGGAGAAUAGUGGCUUCAUUAACUUUCCUAGUAAUAUUCAUACAGCUGAUGCAUCAGCUAAUAACGUUGUGCAGCCCCAUGUCCCUUUAAGUAGCGAUUAAGGUGGCAAGAACUAUGUGAGCAGUUCAGCUAAUAAUUUUAUGCCUAGCAUAGUUGCUUCUAUUGUCUCAACUUCAGUUCCACAAAAUCACAACAGCAAUAACCGAAGUGCUAGUUUUAAUUCUAGCUUGCACCAACCUAUUUAUUAGGAAAUAGCUAUAAUAUACCACCGCUACUGUCUGUCGAUACCGGCAUUCUGUACUGGCCGAUAAUCGAUUCAUAUUUUAGUGGUUCUUCGUUGCAAGAAUCACAUGCUCAAAUUUCUUUGUCAGGGUUUCGACCACAUGCUAGCACUCCAUCUGCUUCACAAACCAAUUCUCUACAGCUGAAUGAUAGUUUUAAGGAUAAGCUUGAUAAUAUACUUAGAGAAUAGGUUUAGAACCUAAGGGUAAAGCAUGUGUAUAUAAAAAAAUCAUACCCUAAUUACUUCAAUUUGAUGGCAUAUCCUCGUGGUUUUACUAUUCCAGAUUUUUUUACGUUUACAGGGGGAGAUGGUAGAUCCACUUCUGAGCAUGUCGAACAAUUUUUAGCCCAAUGUUGUGAUAUUGGCACAUCAGAUGUUUAUAGGAUAAAUUAUUUUUGUUCCCUUUGUCCGGUACUGCAUUUACUUGGUUUACAUCGCUUGCUCCUAAUUCUAUUUCAACAUGGGCGCAACUUGGGCAAAACUUUCAUGAGUAUUUUUAUUGUGGUGAAACUGAACUUCAACUUUCAGAUUUAACUAUGGUUAGGCAGAAAUAUAAUGAGCAUGUUUAUGAUUAUAUUAAGAGGUUUAGAGAUGUCAAAAACCAAUAUUUUAGCUUGACCAUAGCCGGAAAGGAUUUAGCCGAUCUUGCCUUUUCGGGCCUGCUUGCUCAUAUUAAGGAUAAAUUAGAAGGACACAAAUUUUUAGAUGUUGUUCAAGUUUUGCAAAAAGCUUUGGCGCUGGAAAACCGGACUAAGGAGAUUAAAUAAUAUAGCCGGUUUAAACAUAAUACUGAUAAUGAGAAGGAUAACCAUGUAGGUAAGGCCUUAGAUUAUGAUAGUAAUUCGGCUAGUGUAGAUGACGUUAAUAUAUGUGUAGCCGAAUAGGUUCAAGUGCCAAAGUCAAAACCUUUUGCAUGUUCUGCUUUGAAACCCACACAUAGUAGAAGAGACGAAAUUAAAUACACUUUUGAUGUUAGCAAGUGUGAUAGAAUUUUUGAUAUGUUACUACAAAAUAAAUUAAUUAGAGUGAGAGAGGGACAUGUAAUUCCACCUCCAGAAGAAUUGGGUAGAAGGGCUUAUUGUAAGUGGCACACUUCUUUUUCUCAUUAUACUAAUAAUUGUAAUGUAACGUAUUUCAUCGACCGGUGCAAUCAACCAUUAAUGAAGGACGAUUGACUUUUAAAAAAGUUUCUAAGAUGAAGCUCAAUAGUGACCCUUUUCCUAUCAAUGUGGUCAAGCUUGAGAGUAAGAAAAUUCUUAUUCGGUCGGAUCAGACGGAGUAUGCACUAGAAAAAAUGUUGUUGAUGAUAGUGCUCCUCCAAGGAUGAUCAAACAAAAAAAAUUCAAAAAUAGGAGUCUGGAAAGUCAAUGAAACGGGACAAGCUCCAAGGCCAAAGCCGACAGUUAGCAUGUUGUUGGAAAAAUAUACCUCACGCAAGGCCAACAAUGUGUUUAACCGGCUCGGAGGUAAUAAGCGUGCUAGAUCUCGUUCUGGAUCUAACAUUCAUGAGCUAUGGCAAAGAAAUUCAUAUGACCAGCAAUCAUAUUUUGCAAUGGAGCCGACAUAUUGGGGUUGUGCACCUCCUAUGUAUCCGCAAUCUCCUACACGGGGUUUAAUCCUUGGGCUCCAUAUUCUACAGGGCCAGCAUGCUAUUUUCUGCCGGGAUGGAUUCCGCCGAGGCCUAUGUUCAGACCGGAGAUGCACGAGAAAAGGGCUCAGUUCAAUGAGGAGGCUAGAUCACAUAACGCCAUUGAGAUUCCAGCAAGUCGAUCACAAGUGCAAUGCAUAUGGAAAAAACUAUAAAAGUGACCACAAUCGCUAUGGGUGCCGGUGAAGCGUGCAGAACUGAAACCAACAAAAAGUUCAGAUGAUUUAAAUGUUGCUCAUGGUCCGAAAAUUGGGUAAUGCCAGUUAGGUGAAGGUGUUGCCAAUAGUACACAAACUAGCAGUAAUGUUCAAUCAGAACCGGUCCCAAAGGAGGCCAUUGAUACAGACGAGAAUAGUAAUGGUGCGAAGCUGCCGCAAACUGGUCGGUCUAAUCAAUCUUUUCAGACUAAUUUGAGUCAUAGCAUGCAAGCAUAUGGUCAGACAAGGCAUUUGUUGUAUCCUCACGUGCUAGUCAAAAUUAUAAAUCGGCAAGUUCACAUGCUAAUUUAAUCACGGGGAGUUGUUAUCCAUGAACGUCCAAAGGUUUCAAGUCUAGCGCUAGUACAUCUACAUGUUGGGGUUCAAGCAACGGACAUAGCCAGAAAUUUAAAGCUAGCCGUGCAUAUAAUCAUCAGAGAAUUUUUCGGCCAGGGAAAUACCUCAGUACAGGUUGAAGGACCCGCGGGGGAGGGGAGGAGGGGUAGAAUUAAGUCAGUCGCGCCAGGAACUAAACCGGUACUUUGGUGGUGCCCAAUGGGACAUACAAACACUCAGAAGCGCCGUGUACAGAGACUGCGUGCAUUGGAAACAAAGGAAGGAACAGCCGAGAAGAAGUGCGAUGAAUGGUUCGAUAAAGAUAAACCAAUGGUGCUGAUAAAAACUUGGAAGGAGAAGCGCAUUGCGGCGGAGGAAAAUGAAAAUACUGAUGACACGAUUGCUGCUGAAAAUUCAGAGAAUGAUAGAGAUGUACCAACAGAUAUGGAUGUUAAUAUGGUGUUCGCGUUGCCCACUGAAUUUCAUGCUCCCGAGGCUGAAGUUGUUGAGCUUAUUCUUGGUCUAAAAAAUGCUACAUUUGAGAAACCGAAGAAGCACGAACAACACCUAAAGCCAUUUUUUAUCAGGGGUAUCAUUGAUGUGGGAGAAGUUAACAAAACCUCUCAUGAAAAAGACUUGGCGAUAUAUCAUUCCAAGUAUCGCCAUAAGCAAAUUUGGCCGGUAUACUAUUUGAUAUAUCGCCCAGAGAAAAUUUGGCCAAUCUGCUCUUUGGACAUCGCCCUAGGCUAUAUGGCCAGUGAGGUUAUCCACAUCGAGAUAUUUAAUAAUGUUUUUCGGGAAUACAAUUGUAUCAAAAACAAGAAGGCAUGUGUUUAUGACAUAAUUUGGCUACUAGGUUUUUUAUGUGCCAAAUUAAUUAAAUGACCAUGGUUAGAUUACUGGUUGAUAAAUAAAUUUUCCCUUUAUGUUUAAUUCAAAUACAGGGCUAGAUCAUAGUACAGUACAUACGCUGUAGCGGUCCUGGGGCAUGAGCAAUGAAGUCAUGGACAUGAAGGUGCAACAACACAAGGAUAAUUUAAUCAUUAUUAUCUGGUGUGAUAGCCACAUGUCUGAAAUAUUUUAUUAUUGAUAAGGCAAAGAGUGUAUAUGGCCAGAAAAUGUAGCCAUGCAGGUUAGAUGAAUGAUUCAAAACGUCAAAGUACUAUACAUGAUAGCCCAAUUAAGAUGACAUGAUUAGAUAUUAAUCGGUUUAGAUUUUAGAGUUCUAUUCGUAUACGCCAAGUACUGCCUUGUAUAGGUUAAAGUCCAGCGUGCCUUAUAUAUAAAGCCACGGCCGAUUGAAGAAAAAAACCAACAAUCGAUCUAUUCAAUACAAACACAUUACUUUUAAUCGCUCGUUUCUUUUCAUAGUUUCUUCCUGCCGUGCCUGGCAGCCCGAGGGCUUGGUGAUCUUUGUUGUUUUGCAUCGAAAAACGGUCGGUUUUUCUCCAUGAAAUCGAGGGAUUCUUUGUUGCUUUGCCCGGAAAGUAAUCGUUCGUCGUCACGAAAGCACGACAAAUAUCCUGGUGUUGUGCGGCGAUUUCACGUGCCAACAACACCAAUCACCGAGAAAAAAAUAUGCCCUCGCCUCCUUUUUUUUCCGAUGAGGAACGUUUUUAUUAACUCAAAAUGUUGCCCUCACCUCCUGCUGUCCAUGAAGCUUUCUUUGAGUUCUCCAUCUGACAUUGAUCACGAUUCCAAAGGCUGUGUGCCAUUUGGUUGUGUCCAUGCCAGGAGCUGCAUUAGGCUUCAGACAAAACUCCACAGUGCACUCACUAUCCCAAACUGCAUCUAAGGAGUAGAAUGAAGUUUCCGGAAAACUUCGAUCACAAAACCAUGUUACAGUGCAUAGGCUGUUGCCAUUUGGUUUUGUCCUUGCCAAGACCUGCACUAUUCUUCAGAGAAACUCGACAGUGCAGCGCACAUCAGUGAAGCUUUGAUCAAAACCAUCAGGUUCAUUCAUGACAAAAGGGGUGAUCAUUCAGUUUCCCAGACAAAGAAAUGAGACGGACAACGAAACUUUGCAUUGAACUCUGAAAGAUGAACACCAUGGGCAGGCGUUUAUUCAAGGCAACAAAUGCGGCUCGCAGGAACAAGCAAGCACUGCACGACCAGACCAAAUGAAAACUACGGUAGACAAAUCAUAACGCAGCUGACACUUCACCCUCCCGCUGAAUGCGCCUCUUCACGCCUCGACGCACCAAUGGAACUGCAGCAGCCUGGAUUCAAGAAAAAACAUACAACAACAAAAAACAGAAGUGAGAAUUGUGCGGAAAUGGACGCUGAUAUACAUUGCUCUCGGAUAGUCAGAGAACUUGCCAAGCUGCAGUACUUCAGGGCGUAGAACAUCUCCAGGUAACGGCGAGUCUCGCGUCUCUCCAGGUUGCUCACGUACUUCCAGAAUCCAUACACACCGGUCAGAGUCAUCAGCCUCUCUGAGUACAGCUUCCAGGCGUACCUGAUCAUUCCAAAAAUAUAGGAUCAGUAUUUGUUCAGAGACGGUACUUUAGUUGGAACUAUUUGGCAUGACUAUAACAGAAUACAUACUUCUCAUAAAUUCUCUUCAGGCCUCCUCCUUCAGACAUUUUUUCCCAGUAGCUUGGAUCCACACCUUUUUGCACUCUCAAAGAAGUUGACCAAGAUAUCAGCCUUGUCUGUAUGGCAAGGAUCGAUGUGCAGAUCAGACACGCCAUCCAGGAUUAUUUCAGCAAGGCCACCAUGGUAUGUCUCAAUUGUCGGCAAACCACAUGUCGUGGCCUCAAUGACAGUCAGGCCAAAAGCUUCAUAAAACGCGGGCUAGAGACAAUUGAAAUAAGGGUUUACUCUAGUGCAAACUCAAGGCUGUUCUUUCCAAAUGUUGAUUACAAUAGAAUAUGAAAUGGCAUGGUGUAUACGUGCACAAAUGCUCCCUUGGUAUCACUCGCAUAUGUAGCGGUAUAGCUCACCAUUGCGAACACGGCUCAUCUGAGCUGAGAUCCACUUGAUAUGGCCCUUCAGAUUGUACUCGUCAAUGAGCCUGUACAGUACAUCCUCUUGAACUCAAACCUAUUCCUCCCUAGUCCGAGUCCCUAUCCUUUGCAAUGAACCAAAACUCGUUCAGUUUAACUUGACGUUAAUUCCACAUUGCUAAGAUUCUGGAGCAUCGGCAAAUGGUCUUCAGUGACCGUACUUCCUUGCCUGACGACUGGUACGUAGAAGUGGCAUACUUGUAGUGAUGCCGUCCUCUUUCACUGGAAAGGAACAAUAGCAUCAGGCCAACCAACCAAAUCCCAGGAUCAUUGUAAACUAAGUGCUCGUUACAUGGCUGUUGCAUUUCCUAAUACCUCCCACUCCCAGCGUCUUCGAUGUAGUGCAGUUUACACUGGCCGUCCAGUUUCACAUGUAAUACGAAAUAAACUUUGAGUUGACUUGUGCACUAGCGCUAUUAAUCCACUAUACUCGUUGCAAAGAAAAUAAUCUGUAUAUUAGCCACCUUUCCUCGCUCUCAAUUCUGAAGCUUUAUUUGAGAUCUCCAAGAGUGUCCCUUCCCUCCCAUUUAUAAACAAGACUAACUUAUCAACUUUAUUUCCAUUUAUUACUUUGAAAUAAUAUGAUGCAAAGGCUGCAACAAUAUAUACCUGGCAUUUGUGUGCGCACCAUGCCAAUAUAUAACUGGUUGUUAGUUGUUGCUGUGGCGCAGGGCAACCAUUGAUGAGAUGUUGGUACAGCAGUUACUGGAAGCGAGGUGGGGGUGUUUUGUCUUCCAGCAAAAUCUCCUCUGGCCGGCUAGUUUUGUGUUAGUGGGUUGUUAGAGAACACAAGGUCUAGUCUAUUGGCUAGAUUAGGCAGCAACAACGUUUCCUUUGGUUCUGCUUUAGGGGUGAUUGCCCCAGGUUUGCCUUUGGUUAGACAACAACAUUGGCGUGCGAGCGGGCAAUUCCUUCUUAAAGGUAUUGUCUGGAGUUGUGCGCCCUUUGAGUGGCACACGUCGCUCGAAUGGUACAUUAUGGUCCAGGGUCAUAGGGUUUGAGGAGAUGUUACGACAAGGUAGGUCCAAUGGGCAUGGUCUCUAGUUUUCCUUUCUUUUACUAUAAGCCGAUUUAUUGGGCAUCAAAGCUUGGCAUUGUUUGAUAUUGUUUCAAGCAAUUCAUGAUUUAUUUUAGUAGUAUGCAUUAAUCAAUGCAGAGGCCAAGAAUUAAACUCCUUUUUAAAAAGAAUGCAAAAUAGGGGCAAAAAUGGCUACCAACGAAAUUUUGUCAUUGAGAUCAAGUCUAGGUAUACAUCAUCUAACUCUCGACAUGAUUUUGUAGUAAUAUAACUGUAACUAAAUUGAUUGGAAAAAACUUGAGUGUAUCACAACAUUAGAUAACAAGACACUAAAACAAUCAAAGGAAAAAACAAUAAUAUGUGGCACAUACAAAAAGAAUAAGGGUGCCUCUAUUUGCAUAUGGACAUAACAUUAUAGAAUUUUUACUUGUUUGUUUUGGCCAAACUGUACAAUAGAUCAGCUUGAAACUUUAAGGUCAAAAUAAAUUAGUACUACAAUGUGUAAAACUGAUUUCAGAAAUUUCUAAAAUGAUAGGAUUGCACCUGAUACUAGAAAUGCCUUCUUUCAACAACUAGAGUGUUUGUGUAAACCAUUGAUCAUGCUUGCAAUAGUUUCACUUCUUGUAAUCGUUAUCACAAGUUAGGCAACUAAAAUGAUGAACACAAUGGAGUGCAUUUAUUUGAGGAAACAUUUAUGCAGAAAGUAAGAACCAGAAAGCACUACACAAACCUUGCAUAAGUCCAAGACGAAAAAGUACAAACCUCACGACAGACCAACUACGAUAAACUAUGAAAACAUAGCCGACACUUUUUUAAAGACUGCAUAGCAACACUUGACUUAUAAAGGCUGCCACUCUUCAUGCCCCGCAUCAGUGAUGGAGCUAGCCCGUGCGUGGACCAUAGACAAAACAAAAAGGCAUGUCGUUGAUGGGCAUUUGGCCAGUAAAAUGGAGGAUCAAUUCUUCAUCUCCCGCUAUAAUGUACUGAAAGUUUUUGGGCAGAGCCUGGGCAUCUGCUCACGGUCGUCGGGAGGUGACUCCGCCAGUGCCCCACAUAGUUAGUUGUCAGAAUUGUGGUUGUCGAUAGACAAAGGAACAACCAUGGGCCACCUCUGGAUUCAACAUAAUAAUGCAAAUUAUAAGCAAAGCAUGUUAAAAUGGAUAUUAAUAGUCAUUGUUCAUUGAAAAUUAAAUAACUUAUCAAGUUGUGGUAACUUAGAGUAUCGAACAUCGAGUAGGCGUUGCCACCUUGGGAUUUUAGUUCUUGUUGUUCUUUACGAAAUAGAAAUAUGCAAUGCAAAUUAUUGAAAAUUGGGAUUGUUGUAGUGGAUACCUCAAUAUGGAUUUCUUGUAAUCUUAAAAUUCUGAAAUUGGAUUCCAACUUCUUUUUAAGAUCUUAUGAUCAAUAUCAUGAAUAUUACUUUAAAUUAAAAUUAGUAUUUUAAAUUUUGCAAUAUUCUUCAUCAGCUCCAGCAAUGAGCACUAGUAGAAAAGAGGGCUUUGGUCCACCCCGGUUUAGCCCAUUAGUCCCGGUUCAGUCUGGAACCGGGACUAAUGGGGGCAUUAGUCCUGGUUCGUGCGCCCAGGGGCCACGUGGGCCAUUUGUCCCGGUUCAUCUGGACCUUUUAGUCUCGGUUGGUGCCACGAACCGGGACUAAAGGGUGCGAUGCCCAUUAGUCCCGGUUCGUGGCACCAACCGGGACUAAAGGGUUAGACCACUGGUGGAAAAAAGGUCUUUGGUCGCGGUUCGCAACUGCCAUUAGUCGCGGUUGCGCAACCGCGACCAAAUAAGCGCGACUAAAGCCCCCCACCUUUAGUCGCGGCUGCUUAAGAACCGCGACUAACGGCCCGUCCACGUGGGCGCCAGGCGGCCGUCGGGGCGGAGGACCUUUAGUCGCGGUUCUUCUGGCCAACCGCGACUAAAGGCCGCCACAGGUUUAGGGUUUUAGCCCCCCCCCCUAAACCUGUUUUCUGUUUAAUUUGUAUUGUUUUAUUUCUUUUGUGCUUUAUUUUAAUUUUGAAGGAGUUUCAUAUAUUCUACGGUACUAUUAGAACCAAAAAGAAUUCAAGAGGAAUAUACAAUAUAUAUUCAAUAUCAUCGGAUGACCAUAUACAAUUUUGAACAAGUUUCCAUACAUGAUUUAAUGCAUAUAAAGUUCUACGUCCUCGUAAUAGUGUUCUCCUUUAGGAUGGAGGACUUCCCUGCUGAACCAUCCAGCUAGUUCCUCUUGAAGUGGUCGGAAGCGAGCUUCUGGACUAAGCAUCCACCGGAGGUUAUUCCUCUGAGCAUUGGUAUCACUCGGAACCCGCUCAGAGGUGUAUCUCCGGAUCAUCUCACAGACAUAGUAUCCACAUAGAUUGGUCUCCGGUGGCUGAAUAUCCCCAGCAUUCUUAGCCUUUAACAUUUUGAAUUCUAGCUCUUUUUUGAAUUCACCGACCUUUGUAUCUACGAACCGUCUCCAAACCCUACGAGGCAAAGAAAAUUAAAUGAACAAGAGAGUUAUUAAUUAGUUACUUGAUAUUAGGAAAUGAACGAAAUAGGGCGAUCGAUAUAGAGCGCAAAUGAAUGAAAAUAAUUACUUCUGCAGCAUUCUUCUCAUGCCGCCCCAAAGCUUUGGAUCCAUAUUCACAGAGUCGUGGACGAGACAUUCUGAGGUGUUAACUUUAAUUACUAGCAGAAUCCAGUGGAACCUGCGGACACGAUACAUGCACAGUACGUCAUGCAUAACUCAUCGAUUAGCCGGCCACAUACCAUGCAUGGAGUAAACAAAAGAGAAUGUGCUCAAGACAGAAACACUCACUCAAAAUGGUAAGGAAAUAGAAUAUCACUUUUGAGUUCCUGCUUUGUAAGAAACUGCCACAGGUCUGCCUCCACGUCGGCGGGGUAACGCUCCAACACAUGUCCAUUAACGAUGUGUGGGUCAAUGAACCCAACAUCAUGGAUGUUCCUUACUCUGCAUUCCUUAAUCUUCAUUCUGCAUGUAUAAUAGCGGACACAACAAUAUAGUUAGGACAUAUAUAUAGUGCAGGUAAUAUGAACGAGAUGGGGUAGAAAUUAAUAAAUCACUUACAGAACGUAGCAACUGAUGAUAGAUUUAUCGAGCUCGCGCAGAUUGAAAAGCUGGAACAAUUCACUCAGUUCAAUUUGUACAUAGUAAUGUUUGAAGUGAUGCUCAUGUCUAACUUCCGCAUAAAUAUAUUCUUUGGCGUUUUUAUUUUUUAUGUAACCCUUGUACCAUUUCAGCAGACCUUUCAUUUGUGGAGGUAGAUCCUUUUCCUGCGCAGGCUCGACGAGAGGCCCAUUCUUGACAUAUGUAAUUACUACCUCCUUCACUGGCGCCUCAUCAAGGCCUAACAGUUCACGAAGAGUAAUACCUAAGUUGGCCGCUUGUUCUCUGGCACUCGUUACAGUCAAUCCCUGUGCUGCCGCAGCUUGUAUGAUCUCGGGGGCAUCCGGACAGAAGGCUUCCACUAUAAGCGGGGCAAUCGAUUGUUUACUUUGUUUCCCGAGCUGGGCAACUUGUUUCCCGCUUUUUUUACUUUCGGCCUUCUCCCGCUCUUUGUUCUCCUUGAACAUGAGUGCCUGCCUGCGAAGUUCACGUGCAUAGUCGUUAGGCAGAUUCUUCGCGGCUUGGGACGGUGUGCUCAAAAAUGACUUAGCCCACUUCUUUUGCUCAUCAGAAAAUACUGGCUUGCGCUCGGGCUCUCUUUUCUUCUUGCAGUCCGCCUUCCAUUUCUCCAAAUCAGCAGCCGCGGUCGCGUCGACUUCCUCGGCACUACGUUCCCAAGGCCUUGUGGGGAGAGGCUUCAGUGAUGGCUCCGGUACCUUUGUGGUCUUAGGUACAUAAGGGUCCGGGUUAAUAAUCCAGGACUGCUUCUGCUUCUUUGCCGGAGGUGGAUUGGGGGGCGGCGUCUGAUCACCCGCCGGAUGAGGACUGGGGGGCGGCGGCUGAUCACCCGCCGGACGUUGUGGACUGGGGGGCGGCGUCGGCUGACGUGACGGAGGUGUAGGUGAACCGCCGCCACCACCACCACCACCACCACCGCCACCGCCACCACCACCACCGUAGGGGGGUGGACUUGUUGUCCUUGGCGCCUCUCCUGGAAACUUGAUAAACUUCUUUUGCCAUAGAAUGAAAUGGCGCUUGACAUCUCCAAGUCUUUUCUCCCCUUCAGGUGUAGCAAUGUCAAUCUCCAGGUCCUCAAACCCUUGGACUAUGUCCUCCACCGUGACACGAGCAUAGCCAUCUUGAAUGGGGUUGUUGUGGUGGAGUGCUCCAGGUAAACAUGGUAAAGCACUGCCGAUGGCUACCUUCAUGGACAUGUUCCCGAUAGGAUAAUACAGAUGACAUUCUUUCAUCUCCUUUAUAUCGUCCACGGGGUAGCGAGGAGGCUCCGGUGAAGUAAUUUCGACCACCAGAGGCUCCGGUGCAGUAAUUUGGACCACCAGAGGCUCCGGUGCAGUAAUUUCGAUCGUCGGUGCAUCUGCACCAGCCGGUGGGGCCUCCGUGGAAGCCACGCUACUUCUCAGCUGCUGGCUUCCGAGAUCCGCUGGAUGAUCUUCAUGCUGCACCCGAGCUGCAUCUCUUUCGGCUACUAGUACACUCAUGGUUUUCUUCAUCACAUCCAUUUCCGAUGCCAACCGCGCCACAACAUCUGCUUCCCGAUCCAUCUUUCUCUUACGGCUUCUGUAACCGUAUGGGUCAUCGUUCUGGGGGAACCCUAUUUUCCACGGAAUGUGCCCCAUGCCUCGUACACGUCCUCCGUGUUCAGGAUUCCCGAGGGCUUUUGUCAGCGCGUCGUUCUCUCUGUUGAACUUGAUCUUCCCCUGUUGAGCAUCCCUCAUUGCGUUAAUAAGGGAUUGGGUGGGUUUAAUUAAUUUGCCCCGGUAAACACACUCCCCUGUCUCCGGGUUCAGCGUUCCCCCAUGCCCGUACCACCAGCUUUUGGCCCUUGGGUCCCAUCCCUCCGUACCUGGAUGGAUUCCUCGCGCCCUCAGCUCGUUCUCCAUCUUCUCCAACCUAGGCACCCAAAUGCGAUACCCUCCUGGCCCCAUAACAUGAUUGUACUCCUUCUUAGCCGCAUUUUCCUUAUUUUUUUUUGAUAUUUGAAUGAACUGCUCCGAUUUCUUUUGCUUCACAAAUUCUGGCCAAUCAUGUUUCAGUUUCUCAUAUUGUCCUUUGAAAUCCGGAGUCUUGUUCUGCUUGACAAAGUCAUGGGCUAGAUUUUGCUUGAAUUUCCGGAAUGCGUCGGCCAUCUUAUGAAGAGCGAACUGUUUGACUAGCCUCCUCCUCUCCUUGUUUUCCUCAAUCUUGUUACCCUCCUCAUCGAAUUUGUUGUAUUCCGGAGGUAGAACGAAAUGUUCCAUAAGCUUCUUGAAGCAAUCUUUUUUUGUUCUCUUAUCGACAAAAGUGAAACCAUCAAUUCGUGCCUUCUUUGGCUCAUUCCACUCCUGGACGGUGAUCGAGACGUUGUCUCUAACAAUGGCUCCGCAUUGGCUGACAAACUUGGUGGCGUUCUUGCGGGGCUCCAGCGGCCUGCCGGUUGCACUGUCGACAACCUCGAUGGUGCAUGUUUCUCCUUGUUUCAUCGUCUUGGUUGCGCCACGCUUUGACGACGUACUCGAUUGUUUCGACGAUCUGGCCGAGGGCUAAAAUAAGAAAGAGUCGCGCGCGUUAGUACACACAUAUUUAUUCAAAUCAGUUAGUUUGUAUCACCAGAGGCUCAAUGUAUAUAUAUACCUCGGUGCCGGAGGUGGUUGCUACUUCCAUUUGAAGAUCGUCGUUUAUCGACGUUUGUUCGGCAUCAUCUUGCUGACGGCGCCCUUCAUCUUCACCGUCAAGGUUCAGAUAAGAAGAGAUAUCAUCUUCUUCUUCUCCGGUCGGCACAUAUAGAAUAUCGCCGUUUAUGAUGCCGAACAUAUGUGCUUCACCGUUCGGAUCAUAGUUGUCCAUAAUCGGGUCAGCUCUAUCGUCCGCCAUUAUGUCAGUCCUGAAAACAUGUAGUAAAAACAAAUUAAUUAAGUGAAGAAGGGGGGCGGUGGCGGUGGCGGUGGCGAAAGGGCGGUGGCAAAAGGAGGGGGCGAGGAAGGGGUGGGAGAGGGUGUCGCGGUAGAGCGCGAGACGGGGCGGCAGACGACGGCGUCACGGAGAGGGAGGAAAUUCCAAUUUGUCAUGUCGCGAACCCAAAAUGGGCCGGCCCAGGUGAGCUACGUCCUGUGAGACGCGUCGACUUUUUGAUGCAAAGAGCGUCACACAGGGCUGGAUAUGACGCUGUCUGCGUCAAACUGUCGAGCGAACGCACCUACGAGGGUUCCCAACCCUUUUUUUAUUUUCAUUUCUUUUCCUUUCUUUUUCUGUUUCGUUUUUCUUUUCUUUUUUUGUUUAUUGUUCUUUUUCUUUUUCUUUUUAAAAAAUGUUCUCCUUUUAAAAAAUGUUCUAUUUUUCAAAAAUGUUCAUAUUUUCAAAAAAUGUUCGAUUUUCACAAAUUUGUUCGUGUUUUCAAAUUUUGUUCCGGAGUUUCAGAAAAUUGUUUGUGUUUUCAAUUUUUUUUGCCGGCUGUAGCCAACUAUCCAUUCGUCCUGCAAGGAAGGGGAACAGGGGACGAGGUGGGAGAAGCUCACGGCGAGGAGGGACUCCUUGGCGGAGAGGCGCUCCGUCUCGCGGGCGUAGCUGGUAGCGGGCUCCCACGCCUGUGCGUACACGUCGUCCCGCCGGGGACGGACGGGUGGCGGCCUGGAUGAGCAGCGGGACAGACGGGCGGCGGCCCGGAUGAGCAGCGCGGCGGCCGGGGUCGGACAGGCGGCGGCCUGGAUGAGCAGCACGGCGGCCGGGACGGACGGUCGGCGGCCCGGAUGAGCAGUGCGGUGGGCGAGGGCGACGGCGGGCGGCGUCGAGGGCGAGGGCGACGGCGGGCGGCGUCGAGGGCGCGGCAGAGACGAACAGGCGGGAAUCGGAGAAGACGAGAAUCGGACCUCGUAUUUAUAGCCCCCCCCCUUUAGUCGCGGGUUGCCUGCCCAACCGCGACUAAAGGGUUUUUGGCAGGUUUUUUGCGUUCCCGCGCCCCCACCUUUAGUCGCGGUUGGUCUGGCCAACCGCGACUAAAGGGUAACCUUUAGUCGCGGGUCUCGUCGCCAACCGCGACUAAAGGCCGCCGCAGGUUUAGGGUUUCACCCCCCCCCCAAACCUGUUUUCUGUUUAAUUUGUAUUGUUUUCUUUUUAAUUUGUAUUGUUUUCUGUUUAAUUUGUAUUGUUUUCUUUUUAAUUUUUAUUGUUUUCUGUUUAAUUUCAUGUAUCAUCAGUGGUAUCUCGAAUCAUUCGAAAAUGGACACCAAACACAUCACGGGUAAUAUAAUUCACAUGAUCCAUUCAACAAAGUUUGCUACAAUAAAUUAUUACACAUCAUUUCUUCCCUUGUGUCCCUGCUUGCUUACGAUUGUGCCGUAUCCAUGGAGCAUCCUCAUCAUUUAACUUAAUGCUUGGGUCGGUGUUCACUUUGAAGGGCGGAAUUUCAGCAAACAUAUUAUAAUCUUCUGACAUGUCUGUCUUGUCCUCCACUCCCACGAUGUUUCUUUUCCCUGAAAGAACAAUGUGGCGCUUUGGAUCAUCGCAUGAUGUACGGAUCGUUUUCUUAUCUUUCCGUUUCCUCGGUUUGCUACUCAUGUCCUUCACAUAGAAAACCUGAGCGACAUCUUUCGCUAGGACGAAUGGUUCGUCAAGGUAACCAAGAUUGUUGAAAUCCACCAUUGUCAUUCCGUAUUGCUGGUCCACCUUUACCCCACCUCCUGUUAGCUUGAACCAUUUGCACCGGAACAAAGGGACCUUAAAGGAGGGUCCAUAGUCAAGUUCCCAUAUCUCCUCUAUGUAACCAUAAUAUGUGACCUUUUGCCCAUUCUCGGUUGCUGCAUCAAAGCGGACACCACUGUUUUGGUUGGUGCUCUUUUUAUCUUGGGCGACCGUGUAAAAUGUAUUCCCAUUUAUCUCGUACCCUUGGAAAGUCGUUAUAGUCGAAGAUGGUGUCUUGGCCAACAUGUACAGCUGAUCUACAACAUCAUUGUCAUUCAUUAAAUGUUUUCUCAACCAACUGCCGAAAGUCUCCAUGUGGGCCUUCCUAAUCCAGGAUUCAGGCUUCCCCGGGUUGUCCGAGCGUAAAAUAUUCUUGUGUUUCUCAAAGUACGGAGCCACCAAGCUGGAAUUGGUCAGUACAGUGUGGUGUGCUUCAGUCAGAGAAUGGCCGUCCAUACAUAUCGUUGAUUUCCUUCCGAUCGUGCCUUUUCCACUUAGUCUCCCCUCGUGCCGCGAUCGAGGAAGACCAAUCGGCUUAAGGUCAGGAACAAAGUCAACACAAAACUCAAUUACCUCCUCAUUUCCAUAGCCCUUGGCGAUGCUUCCUUCUGGCCUAGCACGGUUACGAACGUAUUUCUUUAAUACUCCCAUGAACCUCUCGAAGGGGAACAUAUUGUGUAGAAAUACAGGACCGAGAACGAAAAUCUCUUCGACUAGGUGAACCAGGAGGUGCGUCAUAAUAUUGAAGAAGGAUGGCGGGAACACCAACUCGAAACUGACAAUACAUUGGAUCACAUCGUUCUGUAACCGUGGUAGAACUUCUGGAUUGAUUACCUUCUGAGAGAUUGCAUUGAGGAAUGCACAUAGCUUCACAAUGGCUACUCGAACAUUUUCCGGCAGGAGCCCCCUCAAAGCAAUCGGAAGCAAUUGCGUCAUAAUCACGUGGCAGCCGUGAGACUUCAGGUUUUGGAACUUUUUCUCCGCCAUGUUUAUUAUUCCCUUUAUAUUGGACGAGAAUCCAGACGGGACCUUCAUACUGCUCAGGCAUUCAAAAAAGAUGACCUUCUCUUCUUUGGUCAGAGCGUAGCUGGCACGACCUUGAAACCAUUCCGGAUGCCGGUCAUCAGGGUCUUUCAAACGUUGUUGGUCCUGCCGUGCUUCCUUUGUAUCAUUUGUCUUCCCAUACACGCCCAAGAAGCUUAGGAGGUUCACGCAAAUAUUCUUCGUAACGUGCAUCACGUCGAUUGCAGAGCGGACAUCUAGGACUUUCCAAUAUUCUAGCUCCCAGAAUAUAGAUUUCUUCUUCCACAUGGCUGCGUGCCCGUCAGCUCCCUUCAGAACUGAUUGUCCGCCAGGACCCUUUCCAAAGAUGACUUUCAAAUCCUUGACCAUAUCAAAUACCUCAGCACCAGUGCGUUCCGCAGGCUUCGGCCGGUGAUCUGCCUUGCCGUUGUAAUGCUUGCCUUUCUUUCUUACUGGAUGAAUUUUCGGAAGAAAUCGACGAUGCCCAAGGUACACGUUCUUCUUACAAUUUGGCAAAUGUACACUUUCAGUCUCAUGUAAGCAGUGCGUGCAUGCAUUGUAUCCCUUAUUUGACAGUCCCGAAAGGUUACUAAGAGCAGGCCAAUCGUUGAUGGUUACGAAAAGCAACGCUCGUAGGUCAAAUUCCUCUUGUUUGUGCUCAUCCCACACACGGACACCACCCCACAGCUGUAAAAGUUCAUCAACUAAUGGCCUUAGGUACACAUCGAUGUCGUUGCCGGGUUGCUUCGGACCUUCGAUGAGCGCUGGCAUCAUAAUGAACUUCCGCUUCAUGCACAACCAAGGAGGAAGGUUGUAGAUGCAUAGAGUCACGGGCCAGGUGCUAUGGCUGGAGCUCUGCUCGCCAAAAGGAUUCAUGCCAUCCGUACUUAGAGCAAAUCUUAUGUUCCUUGCGUCAGCUGCAAAAUCUUUGAACCAUCUGUCGAUCUUUCUCCAUUGCGUUCCAUCUGCGGUGUGUCUCAACUCCCCGUCCGACUUACGGUCCUCUUUGUGCCAUCGCAACAACUUGGCAUGCUCUUUGUUCCUGAACAGACGUUUCAACCGUGGUAUUAUAGGAGCAUACCACAUCACCUUGGCGGGAACCCUCUUCCUGGGUUUCUGGCCCUCAACAUCGUCACCAGGGUCAUCGCCUCUGAUCUUAUAACGCAAUGCAGUGCAUAUCGGGCAUUCAUUCAAAUUCUCGUAUUCACCGCGGUAGAGGAUGCAGUCGUUGAUGCAUGCAUGUAUCUUCAGAACCUCUAAACCUAGAGGGCAGACAACCUUCUUUGCUUCGUACGUACUGGCGGGCAACUCGUUAUCCUUUGGAAACAUAUUCUUCAACAUUUUCAGCAAGUUUUCAAAUGCCGAGUGAGCUACACCUGCCUCUGCCUUCCAUUUCAGCAAAUCCAGUGUGCAGCCCAGCUUUUUCAGACCAUCAUCGCAUCCGGGGUACAGCGCCUUUCUGUGAUCCUCUAACAUGCGAUCCAAAUUCUCCCUCUCCUUUUCAGUUUCGCAGCGUCUCCGUGCAUCAGCAAUGGUCCGACCAAGAUCAUCAACGGUAUCAUCACCGUGCCUCUUCUUCACCUUCCCCUUCACCUUCAGCAUCCUCCAUGAAAGUAUCACCGAAAUGAGCAAGAUAGCUUUCAUCGAUGAAAUCAUCCCCUUCUUCAUCUUCUUCCAUUAUAACCCCUCUUUCUCCAUGCUUGGUCCAACAAUUAUAGCUUGGCAUGAAACCGUGCCGAAGCAGAUGCAUGUGAACAUCUCUUGAGGAAGAGUAACCCUUCUGAUUCUUACAGAUAACACAUGGACAGAUAACAAAACCCCCCUGCUUGUUCGCAUUAGCCACUACGAGGAAAUCUUUCAAACCCGUAGUGAACUCGCCGGAGAGUCGGUUACCGUACAUCCAUUGCCGAUUCAUCUGCAUUAUUAUAAUAUAAAAUAUAUAAUUAACCAUCAUGCAUUUGUUAAACUAACUAGCUACAAACAAUAUAAAUUAAACAAUGAACUGCACACAUGCAUAUUUUAUCAAUGACACAUCAAAGGUUCAUCAAGUUGCUAACCGCGAUCGAGGAGUGUGGCUCCAACACUUCAUGUCAUGUUUGUUUCAUGCUCUUGGGGCAUUUCAUCAAACACCUUAUGUGCAUAAGAGGAACCAAAAGCAAACCUACACCCACUUGUGAAGAGAAUGGCUCCAAAUGGCUAAGUGUUGGCUGCUGGAUGAGUAUAUAUAGGGGAGGGGCUUUAGUUGCGGUUGGCCUGGCAAACCGUGACUAAAGGUGCCCGAAGGCCUUUAGUCGCGGUUGUCCUGGCCAACCGCGACUAAAGACCCUCACGUGCGCCAGCUGGCCAUCGAGCGCCCUGGGCCCAGGCCUUUGGUCGCAGUUCACCUCCAGAACCGCGACUAAAGGUCCCAUUAGUCGCGGUUCCUACAGCUUCGCGACUUAUGGGGCUGGACGGAAGCCUGUUUUUCCACCAGUGGACCUUUAGUCCCGGUUCAUGCCACGAACCGGGACUAAUGGGGUUUGAGGCAUUAGUACCGGUUCAUGGCACGAACCGGUACUAAAGGUCCCAUUUUCAAACUCCACCCCCCCCCCCCUUGGAUCGCCUUUUCAGGUUUUUUUUAAAAAAGAAAAUGAUGAAAAUGUCAAAAAAAAAUAAGUUUCCCAUGUGAUAUGUGGUCUAGUUGUUGGAAAAAUUUACAAAUAUGAAUUUCGACUUUAUUUGCAAAAUCUCUCUAGAAUUUAGUAAAAUGGGCAUAACUUUUGCAUACUGACUCGGAUGAAAAAAAAAUUAUAUGAAAAAUCAUCUACUCGAAAAGUUACAUCCAAAUUUAUUAUGGGGCUUUUAAAAUCUAGAGUGGAAAAAAUCGAAAAAAAUUCAAAUUAUGGUCAAACAAUGGUCAAACUAAUUAUUCUAGAAUAUUAGUGUUACUAAAUAAUUAUUUCAGUUAAUUUGAAUUUUGGUCAAAUCUGGUCAAACUGUGGUCAAACAAUGGUCAAACUAAUUAUUCAAGAAAUAUUAGUGUUACUAAAUAAUUAUUGUUUUUUAAAACAAUAGUUUCAAACUCAAACAGUGAAAUGUGUCACUUCAUGCUCACGCAAAAUUCCUGAGGGUUAAUAGGAUUGACAUCUUACUAUUGUCAGCAAAACAACAAGUGCAGACUUGGAAACGAGGGAGAAUAGAACCCGGAAGUUAAGCGUGCUCAGGCUGUGGGAGUGGGAGGAUGGGUGACCGUUUGGGAAGUUAGAUGAUUAGGAAUGAUGAGGGGUGAUUAGAGAUUAGAGGAUAAAUUGAGCAGUGAUGAGGGGUGAUGAUUAGAGAAUAGAGGUUAAAAUAAUUCAGAAAUUUGAAAAUAAAAAAAUCAACAAAAAAAUUUCAAAUUUUUUUUAAAAAAAAAUCAUAAAAUUUCCUUUAGUCCGGGUUGGUGUUACCAACCGGGACUAAAGGUGGAGCUCCACGUGGCCGCGACCUUUAGUCCCGGUUCCAAUUUGAACCGGGACUAAAGGGGGGAGGGAUUAGUAACGACCCUUUAGUCCCGGUUCAAGAACCGGGACUAAAGGCCCUUACGAACCGGGACUGAUGCCCCCUUUUCUACUAGUGGAGGGCCCCACCCAUUGUCGGCCAUGAUUGAUGUGCCAUAGAAAAAGGUGGAAGGAGGAUGCGGCUGCGUUGGAACAGGAAGACUGAUAAACCUCCGGCCUCUGCAUCGACUAAUGCACACAAUCAUAUAGUGUUUAUUAUUAGAAUAAUAUCUAGCAAAAAUAUGCAUUGAUCCCAAAAAAUUAAAUUAAAAAAGAAAAUGAAAACAAAAGACCAUCCACAUAGGACAUGCCUCACAACGACAUCUCCAAAAUCCUAUUGCAAAUCCUAUGACCAUGAACCAAUCGACUCGUGGAGGGAGAUGUGAACUAGCAAAGGGCGCAACACACCAAGAGAAUGUCUUCAAGAAGGAAUCACCUAUUGGAUGGCGUUGUUGGUUGGUUCAACCAUCCAUCGGACUAGGGGCUCUCACCGAGAAGCUGAUCUUUGCAUCAACCUUCAAUAAGGUAAUUAUGUGGAGAGGGUGUUGAUGCCUGAUCAAGUAGAAGGCUAAAUCAAGGGUUUGCUCGCUAAGAGAAUACAACCCCAUAGUCUCCAUCCACCACUCUAUCCGUCUGCUCACACAGAGCAAGCCAGACAAAGUAGAAAUCAUCAAAAGGGAAGAUGUCAUCGCAUACAUUCCAAUUGUUGUCGCACCACCAUCUCGUUGAUAGUUACUCUGUGUGCAAAGACGAUGUCUAUAGCAGUCGUUACUAGAUGCACUAUCCAGGUACAAAGGACAAGUCAUUGUAAAAGUCAGAUUAACUUAAGAACCGGUUUAAUAUAUUAUCUUGGUAGUUGAUAUCCAUUUAUCAAUUUAUGUACCCUUUACGUCUGUUAAGAGCCUCCCCUCAACGAGUUUUCUUUCGCUAGAAGUUUGAAGAAUGUCCUCUAUUCUCUCUGGGCUUUUAAAGAGCAGCUACCGAACGAUGUUCUCCAUUAAAAAUUUUGUAUUCCAGCAACCAUGAUUGCAUCCAAGGUUGCCAACUUGGAAGACAAAUUGUGUCUCUAGAAUUACUUAAUUGAUUGACACAUGGACUGCAAUUGAAACAAUUCUACACGAGAGGAGGGAAAGGAAUUGUACCAUAGUGUCAACGCACAUUGCAGUCAAUCCGGGAAACAUGACCAUGACCCACAAUUACUCGCAAAGUGUGAGAUCCUGGUUUAAUAGUAAUGAUAGACUACUCAUAUCAAUAAAAAAAUCCUUCUAUUUUGGGAUCUCAUUAACAAAGAACUCCAAAGUUAAGCAUGCUUAGCUUGGAGCGAUUUGAGGAUGGGUGACAGACUAAGAAGUCGGCAUCAGAUGCGCACGAGUGAGGGUAAAAUGCGCAGGAAAGACUAGUGUUAUUUUGUGGGGUCAGUCUAAAUCCCGCCAAACGUAUAGGCAAGGAACGGCGGCUGUAGUCGAGCGUUACAAUUGGUAUCAGAGUCAAACCUCACGGUAACACAGGCAUGCUUGGGUCAGGUGUGCGGGCAUAUGGUGCAUGGCAUGUGUGGCCCGUCGCGGCACAAGACAUGGCCCAUGUGCCAGACUGGACGCAUAGACGUAUACCAAGAGGGAAUGUUUCUGUGGGCCGAUGAGGACGUCGGUUCCAUUAACUGGGGUUGUAAGUGAGAUCCUGACUUAAUAGGAAUGACAGACUACUCGUUUAAGGAACUCUUUUUCUUCUGGAGCUCAUUCACAAAGAACUUCAAAGUUAAGCGUGCUUGACUUGAAGUAAUUUAAGGAUGGGUGACCAAUACAAAGUUGUUGCAUUCCUUGAAUCCUCGGUUUCCAUUGUGUAGCCGCUUAAAAAGGCACGGGUGCAUAAUGUUUGUUAAGUUCUGGUUGAAUUGUCAAAGAGGCCAACGAGUGACUUUCCCAGUGAGAUGAAACCACAACAAUUUUAUAUUUCUUUUAGCGGGUUCAUAAUGAUAUCUAUCUUGGGUGGGGCCUCUUCACCACCAAGGAUGCCUAUGUUGUGCUUUUCACCCAAAAUGCUGAUCCCCAAGCUCGCCCACAUCUAUGAAUUCAAUGUGCCUACGCGAAUCAAGAUCUUUGGAUGGCUCCUGCACAUGGACUGCCUCAACACACGUCAAACCAUCAAAAAGAAAACUAUCAUUAAUGACGACACCUUCCUUCUCUAAACCAACACUAAAGAAUAUCAAAAUCAUUUAUUCUUCGAAUGUUACUUCCCUCAAAGUAUUUGGCAGAAGAUGCACAACUGUGUACCAGCCCAUUGGUCAUCUCUAGGGUUUAUCAAAGAUCCCUCAAUUAUCACCCAUGCUUAAACCAUUCUUCAUGCUCGCAGUUAUUUGGAAAAUAUGAUACUCAAGCAAUGCACAAAUGAGAACCUUGGCACAAAUGUUGUAAUAGCUAUCAAACUUCGACCUAUGGACAAAUCGGCUUCAAAACCACAAGAAGGUGACCUGAUUUCCUUCUCUCCUGUAUAAGACCCAAUCAGCAUAAUUUGCUCAACAACCUGUCAAAGCAUUUUCCAAUACCUUCCAAUCUUUGCAUCUUGGGCACACCAUUGCACGUUUCCUACUAUGUGUGACAUGCGUUACUAAAGAAACUGCAAGCUAAGUUUGGCAUUUGCACUACUGUAUUUCUAGCAAAGAAACCAUCUUAUGAUGCAAAUCACACACCCCUCGCCUCGUCACCCCUCCUCUUAUAAAGUGUAACUUGAAUGCCACUUACGAUAGUACAGAGGCAAUAAAUUCCAAACAAAUAUUAUUUGAGGAGAUGAAUGCAUUCCUAUUCCUAUCACCAGCUUCUCUAACAGCACAAAAUUUGCAGAAACAAUCACUCGCGCAGGAAUGGACAAUUGGAUAGCUCUUUGCAUUUGCAUGUUCACCUUAGUCAUUAUUUAUACUUGGGGUCAAACAAACUCCAAUGAACUUUUUGGAAAAAUGGGUUUUGCUCCUCCAAAACAACUUUAUAUGUUUAGAAUCAUCUCAAAUACGCAAACAGACAUAGUUAAAGGAUGAUCAUAGUUCAGUUCUCUUCAUUCAUUUUUGGAAAUGACUUGUUUUCACCCGGCUGGUAUUUGUCGAUUCAUUAGCCACGUCGGGCCCCAUUCGAUCUCGCACGAUUGUGCGACCUUCACCUAGGCACGUACCCUAUCAUGUGCACACGUUAGCCCGCCGCUCCAAGCCUCCAACCUUAUCUUUUCAUCCUCAACCAUUUCCUCUCGAUCCUUCCUUUCCCCCAUGUCUAUCUCUCUCCCCGUCUCAACCACUCCACACGACGUAGCAAUGGUGAUCCAUGAGAGGCACCGCUACUAGAGACAAUGCUAGAAGCCUCGACUACACCAUCGAUGUGAGCUAGCCACCCAACAACAUCUAUGUUGCAAGCCCUACAGCAACAACAUGAGGUAGUGGCCACCGAUGCUGUGAGGGCCGGUCUCGGUUGUUGCCUAGCUCGGUGACUGGGGGCACCGCAAGGCCCAGACUCGGCUGCUGCAAGCCGCCAUGCAUUGCUACUGCGAGAUGCCACGCACCGCUGCUGCAAGCCGUCGGGGCGUCAGUGAUGCGAGUCGUCUUCGGUGCUGCAAGCCGUCACCCAUCUCUACUGCAAGGCCAGUGUUGUAAACUCACCUCUAGAGUUCUCAAAGGGGACAACACCUGGUGAUGCGAGGACAAGAAACGAGGUGGGUGCACAACACCUGGGUGUUGCAGGACGCCAACCCAUGCGUUGCUGCGAGCUUAUCCAGGUUUGCUGCAAGUGAGCUGGAGUUUGUUGUGGGGCCACCAUCGAUGCUAGAAUGACGGCUGAGAGAACAGUGGUGAUUUGUUGUGAGACCAUGGUGUGGUUGUUGCGAGCUUUGCCAAGCAUUGUCGCGAUCGAGCAGGAAUUUGUUGUGUUGGGGAGCCGCUGGGGUGAUGCUCUGACUAGCAGCCAUGGAUUUUGCGACGACGGGCAGCUAGUGUUGUGAGUGUGGGCGGCUUGCACUACUAUAGUGUGCCAAGUGUAGCCUACCACUGCAACAACGUUGCUAUGGCAUGGCUAGAGGUGUUGCAUGUGUUGCCACGAUUAUGUUCGGAUGGUGGCAGCAAUGCUUCUGCGGUGGUCGUCAGUGCGGCAACGAGCGGAGCUGACAUGUGCCCGCAAUAGACGCUGCUCUAGCCGACGAGGAAAGCGUGUAGGAGGAAGAUGCGGUGGGAAAUACGCAAGGCGAGAGGGAUGAUAGACGGCGUUGAGCAAACGGCUUAGAGCAUCUCCAGCUGUUUGGCCCCCCCAGGGGCUUGAGAUAGCGCCGCUUGGGGGGCAACCAACGGUAAAUCCGGCCUGGAAGGGGGGGGCUCGGGUUCCCAGCCGACCCUCCCAGUCGCCGAUUUUGGCACAAUUUAGGCCCAAUUUCGGCCCAAAUUUGGCGUGCUUCGGCACAAAUUCAACAAAAAACUCAAAUACUCCAUCACAGAAAUCAAUACAAAUUCAGCCCAAAUUCGGCGUUCAUCACAGAAAUCAAUACAGAUCGAAUAGUUCAACGAAGUAAACUCAUAAUUAAAACUCAUAGUUCAUCACACGUCGAACUAGAUGUUUCCCUUGAGCCUCCAUAGGUGCUCCACCAGAUCGUGCUGCAGUUCUUGAUGCACCUGUGGGUCUCAGAUCUCUGACGCAUAUUGAGGAAGGCAGCCCAUGAUGCCGGCACCUAGUGAUCAACUUGGGCAAGAGGACCCUGCCUGCAAUAUGAUUCAGUGUCAAACAUUGGCUCUUCCUGCUCGCUCUUAAUGAUCAUGUUGUGCAAGAUGACAUAGCAAGUCAUCACUUCCCACAUUUGAUCUUUCGACCAGGUCAGAGCGGGGUACCGGACAACGGCAAAUCGAGACUGGAGCAAACCAAAUGUCUGCUCGACAUCCUUCCUGCAGGCCUCCUGACACUUGGCAAAGUAGUUCUUACCUCCUAGCACAGGGUUGGAGAUAGUCUUCACAAAUGUGGACCAUCUCGGAUAGGAUGCCAUCUGCUAGGUAGUAUCCCUUGUUGUAGUGGCGCCCAUUGACCUCGAAAUUCACCGGAGGAGCAUGACCUUUAACAAGUUUGGCAAAGACAUUCAAGCACUACGGUACGUUGAUGUCAUUGUGCGUUCCUAGCACACCAAAGAAGGAGUGCCAAAUCCAGAGGCCCUGUGUGGCCAUUACCUCAAGUACCACACUGCAAGCUCCUUUGGCUCCUUUGUACAUCCCCUGCCAAGCAAAUGGAUAGUUUUUCCAUGCCCAAUGCAUGCAGUCAGUGCUUCCAAGCAUCCCAGAAAAUCCUCUUGCUGCAUUCUGUGUUAGGAUCUGAGCCGUGUCUUCAGCAUUGGGUGAUCGCAAGUAUUGUGGUCCAAACACUGCCACCACUGCCCUGCGGAACUUGUACAAACACUCAAUGGUGGUGGACUUGGACAUGCAUUCAUAGUUUCCAGUAUAUCAUCGGGAGCUCUGUAUGCAAGCAUCCUCAUAGCUGUCGUGCACUUCUGAAGUGAGUGGAAUCCAACUAUGCGGGUGCAAUCAUCCUUGCAAAUAAAGUAGCUGUCAAACUCCCGGAUGGCAUUCACAAUCCUGAGGAAGAGCUUUCGGCUCAUCCGAUAACGGCGCCCAAAUACUUUCUCGCCAUGUAGUUGAGUGUCGGCGUAGAGCAAGCAAUAGCUCUCCAGUCGAUGCCUCUGCUUGCACUUACGGCGGCCCGGCGCCAAGCCACCUCGUGCGGCUUUGCAUUGCUCGCGAACAGGCCGGCUAGAGCGGCGAGGAUUAUGAGGUGCGCUUCGCCCUGGGUAUCGGCCUCGACUUCCUCCUCCAGCAGCGCCGCGAACACCUCCUCGUCAUCGGAGUCAAUUGCCGAACAGGCAAAUUAAUCACCGAACACCUGGCGGGAGUGGUGGGUGCGCAGCCGCCGAUAUCCCCCGGCCUGCUUGGCCGGAGCGCUGGAAAGCUCGCCAGGAAUGGGAUGGAAGCUGCCGCGGUGAAACCCUCUCUUUCCGACGGUGAAUGGCCUUUCUAGCGGCGGAGCAGCGAUUGUGGGCAGGUGGGCGGCCUCGAGAUCGGCACAGCGACGAAAAGGGGAAGUGGCGUCCUACAACGCUCCGGAUUGAAUCUGGGCGGGGAAAGUCAUUUCUCGCCUGACAGUGGCGGCUCACGGGCCACUUUUCCUUCCGCCAGAGCCCCCACGUGCCUCCCAGUGCGCUGGGUUUGGCCUGGGAUCGCCGGGCCAAAAAAUGGGCGCAACCAACGGAAUUCANNNNNNNNNNNNNNNNNNNNNNNNNNNNNNNNNNNNNNNNNNNNNNNNNNNNNNNNNNNNNNNNNNNNNNNNNNNNNNNNNNNNNNNNNNNNNNNNNNNNNNNNNNNNNNNNNNNNNNNNNNNNNNNNNNNNNNNNNNNNNNNNNNNNNNNNNNNNNNNNNNNNNNNNNNNNNNNNNNNNNNNNNNNNNNNNNNNNNNNNNNNNNNNNNNNNNNNNNNNNNNNNNNNNNNNNNNNNNNNNNNNNNNNNNNNNNNNNNNNNNNNNNNNNNNNNNNNNNNNNNNNNNNNNNNNNNNNNNNNNNNNNNNNNNNNNNNNNNGGGGGGGUGAGUGCAUAUGCUCUUACACGAGCGGAACCAAGGGCAGAAGUGGGGGUGAUCUUUCCCUCAGUACAGCCGGUUGGAGCCUAGCCUCGUCCUCCAUUUUCUCCUUGCAAAAAAAAGUAUGUUCACGGUGAACAAAGUAGCUUAAGAUAAGCGGGUGGCCUAAUUGACGGCCACCCUUUGGGAAUUGUGACAUCCACCCUCAGCCACUGAGCGCACGCCCCACACAGAGCGGUUGUCAAAACGAGUCCUCCUCCUUAGCGCCUGUAGUGCCAAAUAAGAGCAAGUAUAAUAGGGUGAUGUAAUCAGGCUAUAAGGAUUUAAAUAUUAUAUUCUUAUUUAGUUGGAAGAGAGAGAAAGGAGCGGGCUGCAAACUAGUAGCCAGCUGCAGCACGUGCUCCAAGAAGCAUUGUGAGAGAAGUUCAUGUAGUGAUAAAGUAGUAAAAUCUUAUAGCACACUAUUAUAUGAGUUGGCUCUUAAGUUGGCUAUAAAUUACAUGGCUACUACAUAUAGCCAACAGUUAGCUCUACUAUUAACCAUGCCCUAAGGCAAACGGCGCUCACAUAGGCGCUUAUUCGGGUGGCCUGAUAAAUAGUUUCCUACCUCCGCCCGCUCGCUACUUGCCUACCUCCUUUUCGCUCCCUCCUUGCUCUUCCACUUGACGGUCGAUACGUAACUGGUCAAUUCUGGACCAUUCGAGAUUCGACCAUUGACUUAAAAAAAAGUUCAUGAAAAAAGGGAAAAUUUAAAAAACAUGACUCUUUUUGUAAAUUUGAAACAAAAAUCAUGAAAUUUGGAGGAAAAAGAAAGAUAAUGAACUUGAGAAAAUGUUCACGACUUUGAAAAAAAAAUUUGAAUUUUUUUAAGAAGUCCAAAAUUUGGACAAAAUUCAACUAUUAUGAAACAAAGUUCACGAAUUUUAAAAAGGUUCAUGUAUGUUUUUAAAAGUUCAUACCAAUUUGAAAAAAAUCAUGAGCUUUGGAAAAAGUUCACGAAUUUCUAAAAUCCAGUAGUUUUGAAAAAAAAAUCACAACUUUGAAAAUAGUCCAUGGAUUUUUAAGAAAAAGUACAUGGAUUUUGAGAAGUCAAUGAAUUUAAAAAGGUUCAAGCAUUUAAAGAAAACAAGAAGAAGAAAAAAGAAAGAAAAAGGAACCAGAAAAAAUAAAAUGAAAAAAACAGAAAAUAAAUAACCCGAAUAAGAACCGUCCGAAAAACCAAAAAAAAGAAAAAAAUCACCGGAAGCUUUCAGAAUUUUCCCAAAACCGGGAGCUUUGCGUGUGCUUCAGUUAGUGGGCUGGGCUGUUCAAAAGUACAAUUGUGCCGGUUAGUCGGCCGGGCCCGGCGGCAGGACCUUGUCCCGGUCGUGCCUUCUGUUUGGCUGGCCGCGAUGGGACUAAUGACCCCCUGGCGUCCGGCUGUCUAGCGUCUUCCCGGCGGCGGAGCCUUGUCCCAGGCUCCCAACCAUGCCUCCCCCUUGUGCUGGUUGUGGUGCGCUGUGGGGGUGGAUUCGGGCCUCCCCCGGCUCAUUCUGUCCCGUGGUGCCCGUCUGUGGUGGAGCGUCUAGCGGCGCCCAAUGUCAUCUCCCCCGGUGAUUGGCGCGGCUCUUCUUCCAGUGGUUGCGGUCUCGGCCUGCUCUGGCUUUCCGUGUCUCUAAUCCUGAUCCAGGUGCCUUUGUGAUUGUGUGGAGUGUGGCCGGGUGAAAGCCUAGCACGGCUUGCCGAUGCUGGCGGCAGUGACACCUGCGGUUGUCGUUCCCUUCUUGAAGGUGCCGCCAUGGGCUCCUCUCCGCGCCCCUACACGAGUAUCGGGUGAAACCCUAGAUCUGGUUCGCUAGAUCGAACGGCAGCAGUGACUCAAUGUUGUAUCCUUCAUGAAGGCGCUGUCUUGUUACUCGUGAUGUGUUCGGUGAUGGAUUUGAUGACUUCAGACGCUUUGCUGGUCCGGGCUGCUCCUGUUGGCGUGGGUUUCCGGGGCGCUAUGUACAGUCUCGACGGCGCUCUCUCCAUGGCUUCUCCUUCGGCCAGGUCCUGCACCCCACUUGCCGUUCCUCUAGGCGCAUAGGUGGGAGGUACGUUGAUCCGCUUCAUCCUGGAGUCUGGGUUGUGCGAGGUUGGUGCCCGGCGUUGGUCGCGACGUGGCCUAAAUACCUUUGUUUCUCUUGUCCUUGCCUUGCUGGCUGGAGUUUAAGUUAGGGAAACGUUUCCACCCGGUGCGCCGGCCGAAACGUUGGGCCGGAUGCACGCGGGCAUUACACAUGGUGGGGCCAGGCGGUGGUUUUUCCUCUCCCGAUCCCCUUAUCUCUUCAAGCUUUCACGCCACAGCACACACAGUGUUCGCUCUCCUCCACUCAUUCCCCUUCCUUCCUCCACUUUCUUUUUCCCUUCCACCUUUCCACGCCGGAGCACAAGUCAAGGACAUUCGCCGCUUUUUUUCGCUGCUGGCCAAGGCCGUCCUGAGCUGCGACCGGCAAAAUAGAGGAGUGGCGGCGCUGCAGAUUUGGAGCAGGAAGAGCGGUGCUGUGGAGACAACUGAGAUGCGAUGCGGGGACGUGGGGAGGAGUUGCAAGGUUCUGCAACCGGUGGACCUGGAAGCUCAACUGGCAGGCGCGCGACCACGCCGGCGACUCCUCGAUGUUGUAACCGGCGGAGUUGAAAGCUUCUACUAGCGUGCUAAAAAGCUACGACCGGCAACGGCGAAAGCUGCAAUCGGGCGGCCAUGCCGACCACGCCGGCGACCACCGAUGUUGCAACUGGCGGAGCUAAAAGCUUCUACCAGCGAGCUAAAAAGCUAUGGCUGGCGACAGAAAAGCUGCAUCACCAGAAGCUGCAACCGGCAGUGCACCAUGGCCGGGGAUGGCAUCCACAGGAUGCUACGCGCAGCGACGCGCGGACGCUGCAACGACCGGAAUGAGAUACUGGAACCGUCUAUUCAAAAAGCUUCCGCCGGCGAAAAGGAAAGCUACUACAGAAACAACUGCUACAACCCAGCGACGACGACGGCGACGACAGAGUGCUGCAACAGGCUAGCAAAAAGCUGGAAGUGGCGAUUGUGAUUGCUACAACCAGAGGUGUGACAUGCUGGAACCGAGUUUGCCACUGCUGAAAGAACUCUGGCACUCCAGGCCACCAUUCGUUUUUGCUACAGCCAUAGAUGUGCCGAGCUACAAUCACCGUGCGUUUCGCUGGAACCAAGGAUCAUCAGCGUUGGAACGAAAGAAGUCCAAAUAACCCCCUGGGGUUUCACAAACCGGCCACUUCACCCCCUCAUGUUUAAAACCCGGUAUCUAACCCCCUAGGCUUUCCUAAACCAUCUGAAUCGCCCCCUAAUCCUUAUUAGAGUGGUUUUACAAAUGAUUUUGGUGAUGUGGCAAUGUGCACCUCGUUCCUGACAUGCAUCCGGCCUCAUGCAUUCUCCUUCGAGCACAAGUCAACGUUGUGCCACUCGGGAAGCAUCGUGUUGAUGCAUGUCAUCAGCACGUAGCACGCUGAGUCCCAUUCUUCUCACUCGGUGAGCUUCUCAGCCGUGAGCGUCCCCUUCUCCAGCUUACUAUGCAGCUUGUACGAGGCCAGCAAUUUCUUGCACACCAGGCCUCUCCGGUCCAGCGCAUCACACGGGGUUCGUGGGAUCCUUCUGGUUGUCUGCAAUGUCAUGCUCCUGCUGCGCGGACACGGCGGCCGCGCUGGGGUGCACGCACAACCCGCCAACCGAUGCAAGUUCAGGCGACCCCUCGCCGUGCGCACCCAGUACGGCAGUGUCUCGUACUCAAGCUCUCCAAGGCGAACAGUGGUGGGAUGGUCGCGUCGUCGUCGACGGUGACGAGCAUGACAUUGGCGUCGGAGUGGCGAGGAGCUGGAGCGUCGCUAGCGAGGCGCACAUAAUUUCUCUCCGGCUAGAACGCACUGCUCCCCCGGAUACAAUACACACAUACAGACCGGCUGGAUCGAUUCGGUCUUGCACAAGCAUGCACGUACACGCAAGUACGAGCUUCCAUGUUCGAGCCGGAUUGGAGUAACCUAAUCGUGAUUAGCUCUGAUAGUGGAUGCUGCCAGCUACCGGCGGCGGCACGAGCUUGAUGAGCUAUUGUCAGCGAAAGAAGAAGAGGACGUGCCCGGCGAGAGCGUUGCCAGGGUGACUACGACACACGGGGGGCACGAUGGAAAGUAGAGAUUGCAUAUACAAGACAAAACACAGCCGGCUGCUGGCUAGCUGGUUCUGCUUCUGAGUACCUCAACAUCAUGUCGUUGUUUGCAAGAGAUCUGCCUGCCGGGAUGGAGGUACCGUGCAGACGUGGUACCUGCAACCAUGCCAUGUCACGAAAACCAUCCUCAAAAACCACUCUAAGCAGGGGUAGGGGGUGAUUUACCUGGUUUAGAAAAGCUCAGGGGGGCAAUUACCCGGUUUUAGACCUCGGGGGGUAAACUGGCGAAACCCUAGGGGGUUAUAUGGACUUCUUUCCGUUGGAACUGCCCGUUUUGCUGCUACCACAGAUGAGAAAAGUUACAAACGGAGGCUCGAGAUGCUGGAAGCGACAAAUGCUACAAGCAAGCGAGUGGUCUGCAAGGGAGCUCGUCGCCGGCGUUGUGCUGCAGGGUCGACGGCCGCGGGGCGCGACUAGCUCGCUGGAUAGGUGCGCAGGAUACAACCAUGGCUGGCUGGCGUAUGCUCACGAGGGAAUCCACCAGGGUCCAAGCAAAGCGGUGAGGGAAGGUGCAAAGGAUAAGGAACGAACGGCUACAAAUCACCCAAUCGAACGGGCCUGGUGCGACCGGCCAAAAUUUCGGCCGGCGCGCCGGCGCCUAACAGUGGCCUUUAGGAGAGCUUUACGCUGUGUUGUAUCCCUUUUUGUGUUUCCCACACCUUGUGUGUGGUGCUUCUCUUUUUUUUCUUGUUUUUUUUUGAACACAUCUUUUUGUCUUGUUUACCUAUGUAAUUUCUUUGCUACCUAUUAAUGAAUGAUACGCAAGCUUUGUAUAUUGGCGGAAAAAAAAUAUAGCAAGGACCGGUCCCUAGAGGCCACCACGAGGCUGUUGCCGUCUGUCUUGCCAAUCUGGCCACCUCUAGCGGCGAUGAGGACGGGAGACGCCGCCGGUAGCAGGGAUGCAGGCCAGGAACCCAAGCGGUGUGCGCGCCGGCGGCGGCGCGGCCCGGAGGCGAGUGUGCGAUUUUGUCCGCUGGACACGGACACCCCUAGGUAACUGAUUAACUUUCUCUUCAGCGGCAUCUCUUUACCUCCCGAUCCUCCCAUCUCCAAUCGCCAUCAGAUUUUGCAGGCUAUGAGUGCAUUACCAAUGGAAAUUGAAUUGACUGUUUGCUAUCAAUGCCAAUCGCCAAAAAAUAUUAUGCCCUCACCUUUUUUUUUCCGAUAAAGAACGUUUUUAUUAACUCAAAAUGUUGCCCUCACCUUCUUUUAAGAAAGAAAAUAAUAUCACGAAGAUAUCAAUUACACCCGACCUCUAUACCAACAAGAUGUACAAAGGCAUAAAAGUAAACACAGCCAAAAAAGAAGAAAAAAAGAAAAAAAGACCAUGCCAUUGCCGCGGUGACAAAUCACUAGCAUCAGCAGCCCUCUAACCAUCACCAAAGACAACACUCAAAAUACAAAAGAGAUUCACCAAAGACAACACUCAAAAUACAGAAGAGAUUCUUCAAAAGCAACACCUCUAAAAGGAAAACAAUGCACAAGCUGACUGAACAAAGUUUGAGCUCACCCAAAAACAAUGAUUUCAACAAGUCCAUUGCCAGAUAUAACCAAUAAAAGUCUGACCUUGUGUUUUCACCCUGGGGAUUGAGACUCGACAAGCACCAUGGAGCUUUUUUUGAGUUCUCCAUGUGAGAAACUGCAUCAGAGAAACUCCACUCUGGAGCACUUACUAUCCCAAAUUGCAUCCGAGUAGUACGAAGUUUCCCGAAAACUUUAAUCACAUAAACCAUGUUACAGUGCAUAGGUUGUUGGCAUUUGGUUUUGUCCUUGCCAAGACCUGCACUAUUCUUCAGAGAAACUCCACAGUGCAGCACACAUCAGUGAAGCUCUUAUCAAAACCACACACACACACAUACCAGGUUCAUUCAUGACAAAAGGGGUGAUCAUCCAAUUUCCAAGGCAGAGAGGAGAAGUGAGACAGACAACGAAACAUUGCAUUGAACUCUGAUGAAAGAUGAACAAUAUGGGCAGGCGUUUAUUCCACGCAACAAAUGCGGCUGGCAUGAACCAGCGAGCACUGCCCAGGACCUCACAAAUGUGCCGAGACAACAAAUUAACACACCCCACGACCAGACCAAAUGGAAACUACGGUAGACAGACAAAUCAUAACGCAGCCGACACUUCACCCUCCCGCUGAAUGCGCCUCUUCAUGCCCCAUUGCACCGCGCUAGUUGUCGGAGCUCUC
rnacentral:lncRNA from 1 species